AACCUCCACAACCACCACCUUCACUGCCUCCAUCAUCACCAUACCACUACAACCUCCACCAUCAUCACCACCACCAACCAAUACUGUCGCUGCGUUGCACCACCAGCACCGGCUCCAACCAAAAGAACCAUAUUCCCGUCUCUUAAUCCAGGGGCUCCAGUAGCUAUUUGCACGUCGCCACCAUUAUUAUCUUUAUGCUCGUAGUAGCAUACGCACCCUAAGACGAAGGGCAUUACAAAAAAGCUGAUUAAUAUGAUUGUAUUAACUAAGUCCGCCUUACUAAGUGUCUGUUUGUAAUUGUUUAUUUCCCUAAAAAGGCACUUAUUUUGAGAAAAAAAAAAACACAGUUUUCUGCAUUUUAAAAAAAUAGAAGCAGAAGAAGAAAAUUAUUUUUUUAUGACAAAAAUAUCACUAUCACUCACACACACAUAUAUCCCUUAUUAAUUAAUUAACAUAUCUUAUAAGUUUGAUUUUAAAAUUUAUACUUCAUAUUUACAUCAUGAUUUAUUAUUCUAUUUUAUGGUUUAUAUUAUUAUUAUUAUUAUUAUUAUUAUUAUUAUUAUUAUUUUAUUUUCACUCAUUUUCUUUAAAUAAAUCUGAAAAUAUCAUUGAUGGUGAUAUUUAAUUAAAUAAAAUAAAAUUUUAAUUAAAAAUAUUUUAAUAGAUAUUGAAAAUAAUUUUUUUCUAUAAAUUAAUUUUAGUAAUAAAAGUCUAUUAAUACAUUUCCUUUUUGGUUAUGUGGCUCAAAAAAACACUUCUUGAAAAAGAAUAUUCAAACACAAUCUAUUUAUCAAAAAUACUUUUCAAAUAAAUUUACCAAACAUUAAUUUUUCUUUUCAAAAGCACUUUUUUAAAAAGCUAUUUUACAAAAAUAUUUCUCAAAUAAGCAGUUUUGUUACAGCAAUUCCAAAUGGGCUCUAAAUAUGCUUGCUUAGCUAUUUCUAUUAGACGUUGUUUAUAGCAACGUCCCAUCGACCAAUUACAAUACUAUUAAUUUUUGACCUCUUCAUACUCCAUAUAAUUGAUUUUUUAUGUACUCUUGUACUUUCUUCAUUUUAAUUUGUUUGAUUUAUUUUGACUUGAUAUAGAGCCGAAGAUAAUAAACAAAUUUUGAAUCUUAUUGUCUUAAAUUAAAAAAUAUAUAUCAAAUUUAUUAAAUAUCUUUUAAUCUUGUGGUAUUAAAUAUGUCAUAUGAAAUGUUAAAAUUAAAGAGUGACUAAAAAGAAAAACUAAAGAUAUUUUUUUAGAACGGACUAAAAAUAAAAAUAGGUCAAAUAAAUUGAAAUACUUUUUUUUUUUCGUUUUUUUGUAAAAACGCAGCAAUUUUUUUGUUUGCUCUUCAUAUAAUCCUUCACUAUUACAUCCUCUCGGUUGUAUGUAAUUUUUGCCAAUAUAAUAUCUACCUAUGUAUGCAUUGUUUGCCGAAUAUAUACAAUUCACUAGGAGUAACAAUGUCAGUAUUAUUUUUUUCUUGUACUCUUUCCAAAACCGGAAACAAAACUAUCUGAACACCAAGAAAAUCGAAUCAAAUGGAAAUUAUUACAGUUUCGUUUUAGUUAUCAAUAUUGAGUUACUUUAUUUCAAUUUGUUUAAAAAAGAAUGAACGUUUUUUUAGUAAUUCUUUAAUUUAACUUUCUUCAUAUUUAAAAUCAUAAGAUUAAAAACUAUUUUGUUAUAUACUUAGAUGUAACAUAUCUUUAAUUGAAAAAGGAGUUUGAGCUCUUGAAAAUGAAGGAUUCGGAUAGUGUGAAAGAAUACUCUUCCAAGCUGAUGAAUAUUGUGAACCAAAUAAGGAAUCAAAAAUCUCAACUAUUGAAGAGUAUUGUGACUUGACUGCUCUUUCAAUAGCUGAGUUGAUCUCUAAAUUGCAAAUCCAAGAGCAACGGGUAACCAUGAGAAGUGAAGGGACAGUCGAAGAUGCCUUUCAAGUAAGGCAUAAAUUCAAACAACAAAAGGAAGGUAGAAAAGUCUCUUCACACCACGCUAGAGAGGUGAAAUCUAGUGGAUAUCAAGGUGAAUCAUCGAGGAGAGGAAAAUUUUCACCUUAUGGUAUUUGUAAAAAGACAAACCACUUGGAUAAGAAUUAUUGGUAGAAGUCUAAGAGGUCUCCUAUUCAAUGCAAAUACUGCAAAAAGUAUGGACACAUUGAGAAGUAUUGCAGGCAAAAGCAAACUCAAAGUAGUCAGUCUUCUCAACGAGUAAAUUUUGCGGAAGGUCACCAACUUAAAAAAAUAGAGGAGGUAUUAAUGGCUUCUCACACAUCACGUGUUGAUCGAUAUAAUUGGUAUAUCGAUAGUGCAUACAAAAGGAGCAUGGUAAUUCAUAAAAAUUUAUUUGUUAACCUGGACAGGUUUGAUAAGACCAAAGUAAAGAUUGGAGAUGGUGCACUGGUGCAAGCUGAAGGAAGAGGAUCAGUGAAAUUCCCUACGGACGAAGGUAUGAAAAUCAUAAACGAUGUUCUUUAUGAUCCUAAAGGUUGUGAAGUACCUAAAAUUAGCAUGAUUGGUAAUUUUUUUUUAAUUUCAUGCUAUUAUGCUGAAAGUUGCUCUUUCAAUGUUGAAAUGAGUGAUAAUUGACUUUGGCACAAAAGAUUCGGUCAUUACAAUCUUAGUUCAUUAGUGUAUAUGCAAUCCAAGGGUAUGGUGCUUGAUGUACCAAAAAUUGACAUGUGCUGAGAUGUUUGUGAGUCAUAUCAAUUUGGUAAAUUGCAUAGAAGAUCCUUUCCUAAAGAAAGUCUUUGGAGGGCGAAGGAAAAGCUAGAGUUAGUUCAUACGGAUAUAUGUGGACCAAUGAGGAAGACUUCUUUGAGUGAGAAAAAAUAUUUUAUUCUCUUUAUAGAUGAUCUAACUUGAAUGACAUGUGUCUAUUUUCUAAGUAGCAAAGUUCAGGUGUUCUCUGUUUUCAAAGAAUUCAAGGCUAUAGUAGAAAGGGAGAGUGGCUGUCGGUUGAAGUAUAUCAGGUCAGAUAAUAGAACUGAAUAUACUUCGCAUCAGUUUAGCAAGUAUUGUAAAGAUGUGGGUAUUCAACAACAAUUCACUGUUAGCUACACUCCCGAACAGAACGGAGUUUCUGAGAGGAAUAACAGAACAGUGAUGGAGAUGGCGAGAUACAUGUUGGCAGAAAAGAAGAUGCCUAAAUAUUUUUGGGCUGAGGUAGUCAAUACUACCAUCUAUUUGCUGAACAGAUUACCAACUAGAGCACUCCAAGACAUGACACCAUUUGCGAGACAUUUGGAAGUAUUUGGUUCGGUGUGCUAUGCUCAUGUUCCAGAUGCUAAAAGUGGCAAAUUGGAUAACAAGGCAGAGCUCUAUAUUUUGUUGGGCUAUAACAUAGCUGUAAAAGGGUACAAAGUGUAUAAUGUUUGUACGAAGAAGGUGCUUAUCAGUAGAGAUCUUGCGGUGGACGAGUCUAGCUACUAUGAUUGGGAUCGAGAUAUUGUUGUAAAGAACCAAGAUGGUGUUAGGGUUUUUGCCCUGAUUUUAUUUCUAUAUUUAAGUUUUAUUUUUUCUUAGAAGGAAAAUAAAAGUUACCAUAAUUACUUUUAUUUUUCUAAAAGGAAAAUAUAAAACUUUUCCAUAUUUGGCAAACCUCUUUCUUGGAGGAAAGGUUUUGGGCAUCUAUAAAUAGAAGAUCCCCCCUUAUCAUACCAUAACAUAAGAGCAUCCACAAUGUAGUCGUUAAAAGAGUCUAGCUUUGGAGGAGAUUUUCUCUCUUAUUAGUUUUAUGUUUUUUUAAUAUUAGGUUUUAUAUGUAGGCCAAUUGGCCAAAUCAUCUAAUAAUAUUAUGUUUUUAUUAUUAUUUUCUUUGUCGUCUGAAUUAUCACCAAGAUAGUUUACAAACUUUAAGCUUCCGCAUGAUGCCCUCUCGAUUUCGAACCCAACAGAUGGGAGUACUUCAGUUGCAGCUCAAAAUAUGUAGACAAGUGAUAUUUCUUCCAGUCCUAUUGCUGGAGCAGGACACUUUUCAAAUGUUGAAUUGACAACUGAUUCUCCAGUUUUGAAGACCAGGUCACUAGCUGAAGUUUAUGAGCAAUGCAAAUUUGCUCUUGUGGAACCAUUUUCUUUUGCAGAAGCAGCAAGUCAUGAAGCUUGAAUUUCUGCAAUGGUGGAGGAGCUUGCCAGGGUUAAUAAGAAUGAUUCUCCAAGGAAUGUAGUUGUUGAGGAGUUCAGAGAAAGGGGGAGCUCAGAAACUCAAAAAGGAGAUGACUCACUUGGUUCACAAAGACCAAAAGAAAAUAUUGUGAAGUCGGUACGUUUCAAAGAUAAAACUUUUGUUGAUACACAUAUAUUUGCAGGACCAACUGAUGACAGAAAAACUUCAUUAUUUGAAGAAGUUAGAGGAAUCAAGAAAAAAGUACAAGGAUAUCCACCAAGGCAUAGUUCAAAGCUUCAUUUGAGUUCUUCUGCAACAAGUUUGGGAUAGCUUCCAAAAAAUCACUUUAAGGGGGAGUGCUAAAAUAUUAAAGUAGAUUUUUUGAAAUCAUUGAUUUCUAGUUAAGUCUCUAGAAUAGUCUACUAAAUUUUUAAGAUAAUCAUGUUGAAGAAAUAUCUAGAUAUUAUGUAAUUCUAGUUAUAAGAAUCUAGAAAAGAAUGGUGUAGAAAGAAAUAUCUAGCUAUGUAGGAAUGGUGUAGUCCAGAAAGGAAAGAUCUAGAGGGUGCUAGAUAUUUGUAUAAAAACACUCUAGAUUUAUGGUAUCUAGAAUCAUCCCUACACAAGUAUAAAUAGGGGAUGACAUUAGGCAUUUCUAACCAUUCAGAAAAAUAGAAAACACUCAAUAAAAUUUUCAGCUUCUUCUUCUUCACUGAAGUCUUUUUUGUAGCAAUUUACAGAUGCAUCAUUUUUUAUUGUUUUCAACUUCUUGUUUUCCAAUCUCUCUUCCCCUUCUUUUGAAAAUUUUUAAUGUAUAUUAAAGUUGUAAAAUUUUUGGCUCUUCAUAGUCCUUGAAAGAAAUCAUCAGCGCAAUUACUUGGAACUUUUCAUUUUCAUUUUUAUUUCAUAAUCCGAGCUCAUACUUGACAUGUCAAUUGUUUGACAUGAGAUUAGUUUAUUAAUCUAUUUGCUUAAUCAAAAUAUAGUUUAUUAAUCUACAAUUUUAGUAACUAUCUUUGCAAUUCCAUUUGCGUGUCAAUGAAACAAUUAAGCUAGCUAGUCAUCGUUGGUGAUGGAAGCCUAAAUGUAGAAUAUGUUUUCUUGAUUUCUUUUGUUUGAGUCAUACAAUAUCCAAAGAAGGAAAGGCCUAAUAAUCAUCUUAAUAAAGUCAACGUAAUCUUGAUUUAAUGGCACGGUCGAGUUUUUAAGCCAAUAUUAUGGUUGACAUUCUUGUUGUGGAGAGGCUCAAGAGAGUUCAAACAUAAAAUUAAACUACCUCUCAAAAAUACUGAAUUCAGAUGAACCUGUUACGUUUGAAUUGCAUCCGUCUCUGAGCCUAUCACGAUGUACUUACAAGUUACAACUUUGUGAAGAGUAACAUAAUUAAAAGACUGAUUUGUAUGAUGAUGAUUAAAAAUUUAUUAGCUCUCUGCAGUUAGGACUAUGCUUGUUUGCUCAGCACAAUGUUAGAGCUGGUUUUUAAAUUUCAGAAAAAGAAAGAGAAAUUCAAAAGUUAUGGCUAUAUACUACACCCCCUCUGUUGCAUGUAAUUUUUGGUAACAUAAUUUCUACCCAUGUAUAAUGUUUGCAUUGUCUGCCAAAUGUAUAUAGUUUACAUGAGAGUGACAAUACCAGCAAUUUAUUAACCCCAAAAAAUAAAUACAAUGCCAGUAAUUUUUUCUAAUUAUUUUUUGCUGUAUACUCUUUUCAAACCCAGAAACAAAACAAGCUGAUCGAAUAAUAACAAAUUAUUUUGAUGGAUAGUAUUUUUUUCCCUUCAAGUUUUGCUUCUAUUUUGAAAAAUAUAGUUUUAGCCUUGGGAUAUUUAUGUUCUAGAUGAACCUAGUCGCUUUCGGGUAGAGUGUAUAUUUGUAUUAAAAAAUUAAGAAUUAGAAACGUAUAUAUUGAUUGCGUGCGAACCCACAGCACAAUAGAUGCUACGCGAGCUAAAAUUCACAAAUAACUAUUCUAUAAUAAAAUUCAAUUAGCUAAUUCUGUUGGGCUAUUGGAUCUUUUUCCCUUCCUAUGUGGAUAAAUGAAACCCAAUUUGGAUCAACCCACUUUUGCCCAUAGGCCCAUUACUAUGGGGCAUAUAUAUUGAUCUUUUUAGGUCUUAUUCACCAUCACAAAAAGAGAGUUUUCAACAGCCGAAGAGAGAGAAAAAAAGAUGAUUUUCGCACCUUAAUUUCAACCACAACUGUUAACUUCAAAUUGCGAUCUCCGCUUCGUUUCUUAUCCGAUUGAGCUGAUUUUUGGGCUUCUUGUUCCUCUCAUCUCAAUAUUUGAUUAGGAAUUGACGAAGCUUGAUUUGGUGUCCUGUAGCUCUUGUUCUUCAUUCCCGAACAGUAGCUGCAUUUUUUAUGCUUUCACUCCUUUAUUUCUCUAGUGUUUGGAGCUGUGGUUUAUGUAUUGUUUCUUGUUGUUUGGCACUUGUUUUGUGGACAUUUUGGAGAAUAAUAUUGUAACUAUUUGGUGAUUAUAGUGGAGGUUUGGUUCCGUGGUUUUUUACUCUUCACACCAAAGGAUUUUCCACGUAAAUUUGGUGUCUUGUGUGAUUGCCUUUAUUCUUGCCCUAUCGCAUUUGUGUGGUAAUUCAUUUGCUGCCAUAUUACUUUAUUUUUCUUGGUUUGCUUGUAUCCUCUUGGUUCAAGUUGAAAGAGAAAGUUUAGUCUUGGGUAUUUUCCGCUGCUACCCUGUCGGGCUUUUUGAUUAUGUGCCCGUCUUACCUAACAAGUGGUAUCAGAGCUUUGGUUGUUAUUGAUUGUUGAUUUAAAUGAUGGAGGAAAAUAUGAGCAAGAUGGUGUGUUUUUAUGGUAGUAACUAUUAUACUUGGAAAGGCAAGAUGAAAGAUCUUCUAUUUGUUAAGAAAAUGCAUCUACCUGUGUUUGCGUUUACUAAACCUCAAUCCAUGACAGAUGAGGAUUGAUAAUUUGAGCACUUACAGGUUUGUGAUUAUACCAGACAAUGGGUUGAAGAUAAUGUCAGAAAUUAUAUUAUGAAUGAGACACAUGCCAGAAGUUUGUGGGACAAGCUCGAGAUACUUUAUGCUUCAAAGACUGGCAAUAACAAGUUGUUCCUAUUUAAGCAAUUGAUGAAUAUCAGGUAUAAAGAGGGUAGUCCUAAUUCUGAUCAUAUAAAUAAUUUUCAGGGUGUCCUUGACCAGCUGUCCGAAAUGGGUGUAAAGUUCGAUGAAGAAAUUCAGGGUCUUUGGCUUCUUAAUACUCUGCCAGACUCUUGGAAGACUCUUCGAGUUUAUUUGACUAACUUUGCUCCCGGUGGUGUUGUAACUAUGAAAUAUGCUAAGAGUGGUGUCUUGAAUGAAGAGAUGAGAAGAAGAUCUCAGGCCUCGUCUUCUUUAUCUUCACACUUUGAUAUUUUGGUUACUGAAGAGAGGGGGAGAAACAAGUCCAGAGGGUUGAAUGAUAGAGAUAAAACUAGAAGCAAGUCGAGGUCCAAAUUGAAGAAUGUUACAUGUGACUAUUGCAACAAAAAAAGGGCAUAUCAUAAAAUAUUGUUACAAGCAUAAGACAGAUAUGGGACGGCAAAAGAAUGAAGGCGAUAAUGAAAAUUGUGUUGCAGUUGUUGCUAAUGAUGAUCUUCUUGUUGCUUGUGGUAAGAAUGCCAUCAAUCUUGUUCGUGAUGAGUCUAGCUGGUUUGUGGAUUCUGGUUCUACUUCUUAUGUUACGCCAAAGAAGGAAUUAUUUUCUUAUUAUACUCCAGAUAAUUUUGGAAUAUUGAAAAUAGGCAAUAAUGAUGAAGUUAAAGUACUUGACAUUGGAACGAUUUGUUUGAAAAGUAACAAUAGUUCCAAACUAGUUCUCAAUAAUGUCAAGCAUGCUCCAGAUGUUCGCCUGAAUUUGAUUUCUGUAGGAAGUAGUGAUGAUGAGGGUUAUGUUAAUACCCUUGGUGCUGGCUAGUGAAAGCUUACUAGAGGUUCGAUGAUUGUGGCUUGAGGUGACAAGUUGUCUAACUUGUACGUAUUUUAGGGCUCUACUUAUAGAGGCUUGAUAAACUUGGUGGAGAAUGAUACUUCAUCAGAGUUGUGGCAUAGAAGGUUAAGUCAUAUGAGUGAGAAGGGGAUUGAUAGUUUGGCUAAGAAAAAUUUGCUUUCUGGAGUAAAAUAAACAAAGUUGAAGAAGUGUGUUCAUUGCUUAGCUGGUAAACAGAAAAGAGUUUCUUUUCAGAGUCAUCCACCUUCAAGAAAGCUCGAUUUGCUGGAGUUGGUGCAUUUUGAUUUGUGCGGUCCUUUUAAAGUAAGGUAUCAUGGUGGUGCACUUUACUUUGUGACUUUUAUUGAUGAUCAUUCUCGCAAACUCUGGGUAUUUUCUUUGAAGUCCAAGGAUCAAGUACUUGAUGUGUUCAAGAAUUUUCAGGCCUUGGUUGAAAGACAGAUAGGGAAGAAAUUAAAAUGCAUCCAUUUAGAUAAUGGUGGUGAGUAUAUUGAUCUUUUUGAUAGAUAUUGCAGAGAGCAGGGUAUUCGGCAUCAGAAAACUCCUCCAAAGACUCCUCAGUUGAAUAGCUUAGCAGAAAGGAUGAACAAAACACUAGUUAAGAGGGUUAGAUGUAUGCUUUCAGAUGCUAAGCUGCCAGAUUUCUUUUGGGCAGAAGCACUUAAUACAGCUGUUUAUGUUAUCAAUUUAUCUCCUACUUUUGAUUUGAAUAGUGAUGUUCCUGACAGAGUUUGGUCUGGUAAAAAUGUUUCUUAUGAUCAUCUUAGAGUCUUUGGGUGUAAAUCUUUUGUGCAUGUUCCUAAGGAUGAAAGGUCAAAGUUGUAUGUUAAAACUAGACAGUGUAUCUUCAUUGGUUAUGGUCAAGAUGAACUUGGCUAUCGUUUCUAUGAUCCAGUUGAGAAGAAACUUGUUAGAAGACACGAUGUUGUUUUCUUUGAAGACCAAAUAAUUAAAGAUUUUGAUGUGAGAUACCAUUGGAUUCGGGAUGUGUUGGAUUCUAAGUUGCUUGAACUUGAGAAGAUUCAUACGGAUGAUAAUGAUUCCGAUAUGAUGACUAAAACUUUGCCAAGAGGGAAGUUUGAAGAUUGUUGCAUGAUCGGCGGGAUGGCGGUUUCCUCCACAUAGUUGGGAGGGGGAGAAUUGUUGGGUUAUUGGGUCUUUUUCCCUUCCUAUGUGGAUAAAUGAAGCCCAAUUUGGACCAACCCACUUUUUCCCUUAGGACCAUUACUAUGGGGCAUAUAUAUUGAUCUUUUUAGGUCUUAUUCACCAUCAUAAAAAGAGAGUUUUCAGCAGCCAAAGAGAGAAAAAAAAAGGUUGAUUUUCGCACGUAAAUUUCAGCCACAGCUGUCAACUUCAAAUUGUGAUUCCCGCUUCGUUUCUUAUCCGAUUGGGCUGAUUUUUGUAUUGAUUAUUUCUCUCAUCUCAAUAUUUGAUUAGAAACUGACGGAGCUUGAUUUGGUAGCCUGUAGCUCUUGUUCUUCAUUCCCAAACAGUAGCUGUGAUUUUGGUGCUUUCACUCCUUUAUUUCUGUAGUGUUUGGUGUUGUGGUUUAUGUAUUGUUUCUUGUUGUUUGACACUUGUUUUGUGGUAAUUUUGGAGAACAAUAUUGUAACUAUUUGGUGAUUAUAGUGGAGGUUUGUUUCCGUAGUUUUUUACUCUUCAGACCGAAGGGUUUUCCACGUAAAUUUGGUGUCUUGUGUGAUUGCCUUUAUUCUUGCCCUAUCGCAUUUGUGUGGUAAUUCAUUUGCUGCCAUAUUACUUUUUUUUGCUUGGUUUGCUUGUCUCCUCUUGGUUCAAGUUGAAAGGGAAAGUUUAGUCUUGGGUAUUUUCCGCUACUACCCUGUCGAGCUCUUUGAUUGUGUGCCCGUCUUUCCUAACAAAUUCCACAAUUGAAAUUUUAAUAAAUAGCAUUAAAAAGUAAUCAACAAGCGCUAUUUUCACUCCCUCCCAACUCCUAAAUAGGAAGAAAAAAAUACAACGAAGGAGGAAAAGGACCUAGCUAUAAUGUACAUUAACUGCAGUUGGUUCUUCAAUGCGAAUAUCAAACAUUAGAAAAUCAAAACAAAAAUAUUCAUGACUACCCUAUCGAAAGUGUAAAGUGAUUCAAAUUAAUCUCCGCAUCCACCACAACCACCCCCAUCACCACAACAACAUCCCUGACAUGCAGCAGCAUCUGCAGCCACUCUCACUGCGGCUUCACCACCAGUGGCAAUAGCUUCUCCAGCAUUACCCAAAACAACCAUAUUCCCAUCUCUUAAUUCCGGGGUUGCACUGGCCAUUUCGACAUCCCCUCCUCCUUCCAUAUUCUUCUCGCGUAAUCGUUCACAUUUGGCUCACAAAAAGAUCGAAAAGGGUAUCAAAAACAUACCCAAUGCCCAAAAUGGUGAAGUCCAUAGUAAACUAUAUGCUUGAAAACUGUUUUAAUUAGUGGCUACUUAUAGCAAGCCAUCUACCAAUUACGAUAUUGUUUUUUCCUCUAUGAUGAUGACCAAGUUCCAUAGCCCAUAUAUUAGGAAUAUUUUUUUAUGUACUCAAGUUGUAAUAUUUUUUUUGUUCUUCAUAUAUAAUCCUUAUAAAUCAAAUCACCAGCGCUUACUUUGGAACUUUUCAUGAUUUCAUAUUUAGUUCCUUUGAAAUGCAGGGUAUCAUGAAUUGUUAUAUUGAUUGAUAUAUGAGCUCAUAUUUUGGCGUGGAAGAUGUUUGACUUAACAUCAUCUUGUUAAUCUACACGUUAAUGUUGGUGUUUGUGCUGACUUUUUUACCAUCACUGGGUUUUUCUUAGGAGUAAUAAUUGGGUUUCCCUUUAGAAAAAGAAAAAUAUAUUCUCCAUAUUUGGCUAGUUCUUGUUCUUGUGAGAAAAGAUUAUAGACUCUAUAAAUAAGACUCCUUUCUUCUAGUUUGGUUUGUGUGAACCUCUUUUUAUUCCGAGCAAAUUUGUGUGAUGUUGUCUCUCUUGACAUUUGGUACUCUUUUAUAUAGUGGAUUGUUCAUCUUCUUUUACGGAUGUCGGUCGAUUGACUAAACUAAGUUAAAUUAUUGUCUCUUUUGGUGUAUUUCUCGCAUGUCUUCUUAUAUGGCGUCUAACGCGGUUUGCUUUGCUAGUAGCUUCCGCAGGACACCUCAUUAUUUCGAUCCAAACAGUUAAAGUACCUUUCUUUCCAAUUCGAUUUGCUUGUCGCCCAAACAACAUGUAAAGGCUAAAAUUAUAGAUGCAAUUUUAUAUAUAUAUGCAUGUGUGUCUCACAUUAUAUAUCCUGAUAAAAGAAGUCCUAAUUAUCUUAUCGAUUAAGUGGUAUAUGUUUCGAAAAUCUAUCUAGCAAUGGCACGAUAUACUAAUUGCAAGUACUUGAUUGUUUGCCGUAUCGUAAUUAUGGUUAAAUCGGACAAAGGUACAACUUGUCAAACAUCGCAUACUUUCAUUCUAUUUACUGGGAAAAUGGCACAGUUAAAUUUAUAUGAGGUCGAGGACAAACAUCUUGAUUUAACUCAUUAGGAUCGAUUAUUUGUAGUCAAACAUGUCCGUCUAUAUAUAUAUAUAUAUAUAUAUAUGUAAAUUUAAAAAAAAAACAAUGGGAUGAAGACGAUAAGUAAGUAAAGAAAGUCGUAUGGAGUAGUGGAUUUCCAAUGAUGUUCAUUUUUACAAACUCUGGUGAUGUUUUAGUGUUCUGUGCUUCUAAUCCAGGAUCGUUUGAGUAAGUAAAUGCUGAGAAGUAAUGAAACAGUGAAAAAUAGAAGCUUAGAGCACAAGAAUAUAAUGUGUUAUGUUGUAUAGAACACACAAAAUCAAUACAAGAGUUCACAACUACCCUAUCAAAACUACAAAUUAAUCACCACCACAACCGCCACCACAACCGCCACCACCACCAUCACCACCACCACCGCCAUCACCACCAUCAAAGCCACCGCCACCACAACAACAACCCUGGUAUGUACCAAUAUCUGCAGUAGUGCUGGCCGAAACAACCAUAUUCCCAUCUCUUAAUCCAGGGGCCGUACUACCCAUUUCCACAUGGCCUCUUCUUCUAUUGCUCUCCCGCUGCUCGCGUGCGAUGCGGCAUCUGAUGCACGCCAUCGUCAAAAUGGGAAACAGAAAAGAGAAGAUUAUGAGCAGAACAAUGAGGGCUGUGUCCAUUGUAAAUAUGGUUAACUAUUUUAGUUGGAGGCUAUUUAAAGCAUGUCACCAAGCAAUAACAAUAUUAUCUUUUUCGUCUCUGAAGUCUGACCAAGCUCUAUAACCCAUAGCAUUAUUUUUUUUUUGUAUAUACUUGUUAGGAAACUGAAGUUUUUAUGAUGCACAUAUGAAUGAAACAUGUUGUGCAAGCUGGUCCACACAAGUGUAGAAAAGAGUAGUUACAGGCAAGGCCACUGAUAAGAGAACAAUGUGUAAAAACAGGAGUACAGAUAAGCAAGAACAUUCAGAUAUGCUCUCAACACUUAUCACAUGCAGCAAAGAAGACAAAAAGGAGAAGAUAAAUGCAGUAUCUAGAAAUUGAGUUGAUCAAGGAGUCUUGCCAUACUUAGGGAUAAAGCAAAAGAGUUCUAUUGUGUCAAGGAGAGAGAGAUGACUGCAACAAGGAGUGAAACUACCUGAUAGAGUCUUAGAAAAAAAAAGUGCACAUCAUCUAAAGGGCUCUAUCAGAAGUUGGCUUAAAUACAAGAAACAAUAUUCAAGAGUUUCACUCAUGCGCUGACAAGAAUAUCAUCAAUCAGCAAAUCAAUUCUCUUACUUGAAGAAGAACCUGGUCUUUUACUUAGCAAGUCGUAGACUUUAUGUAAUAGGUUAGUUCUUGAGUUGUAAUGAGUCUUUUUUCUAGUCUCAAUGAAGUAUAAAUUGAGUUAGAAGUUGUGUCUUCAAGUUAGGGAGCUCGAAGACUUAGGAACACUUAUCUUGGGAAGAUUUGUGUUUUUGUAGAAAUAGGAUCAAUUAGAAGUUUUAAUUCCUUAUUUACAAGAAGUCUUAGGAUUUGUUGAUUGUUGAGGCUCAAGAGUAAUAGUGAAUUUAAGGUUAAAUUCUGUAGAGGUGCAGGUCGUGGUUUUUUACACCUUUCUUGAGCCGGUUGUUUUUCAUGUAAAAAUACUGUGUUCAUCUUUUACUUCUGUGAACCACGUUAGCUUACUAUUUCUACAGAUAGGCAACUAAUAGAGUAUAAUAUUAAAAUCAGUAGGGCACACACUCUAACAAGUGGUAUCAGAGCAAGGUUGUCUUAAAUAAGGUUAGCACCUAAGAAAAAGAUCAUUAUGACGAAUUUCACAUCUCCUACUGGUCACAGUGAAGGUCAGUCAACUACUCGACCUCCACUUUUUUAUGGUUCUCACUUUAUCUGGUGGAAGGCCAGGAUGAAAAUAUUCAUUCAAGGUAAAGACUAAGAAUUAUGGGAUAGGAUCAUUGAUGGUCCUACUAUUCCAAUAAAGUUGGUUGAUGGUGAACAAGUCAAGAAAGUGAGGAGUGAAUUUACUGCUGAUGACUUGGUAGCACUAAAGAAAAAUGCUAAGGCUAAGAAUAUCUUAGUCUAUGGACUAGGACCGGCUGAGUAAUACAAAGUGUCAACUUGUACCACUGCUAAGUAAAUUUGGGAUGCACUAUUCAAUGCACGUGAAGGUACCUCUUAGGUAAGGAAAUUUAGGAUUGCUCUAAUUUUUAUUGAGUAUGAAGCAUUAAAGAUGAAGGAGAAUGAAUCCUUGCAUGAGAUGAUGGCAAGGCUUACUGCCUUAAAAAAUGAGCUGACUUCCUUGGGAAAAGUCAUUACUGAAGAGGAACAAGUUGAAAGGGUGCUGAAGGUACUACCAAAAUCAAAAUGGAAUGUCAAAGUAACUGCAAUCAGAGAGGCAAACAAGAAUCUCACAAGCAUGACACUUGAUGAGCUUGUAGGAAAUUUAAGGACUUAUGAAAUGGAAAUUGAUGGAAAUAGUGAACAAGAAGCCCCUGAGAUAGUCUUGACUUUGAAGGCCUCAGACGGUGAUGAUGAAGUUGAACUUGACCAGGAACAAGUUGCCUUCAUAACUAAGAACUUCAGUAAAUCUUUUGAAAAAAAAAAGGGAAUGGGUAGCAAGAAACGUUCCAAUGACAAUUCAAAUGGAUGCUAUAAAUAUGGAAAAACUGAUCAUCAUAUUAGAGAUUAUCCUGGUUAGGAAAUAAAAUAGAGGAAGGAAAGGGCUGAGAAAGAACUAAAAGAAGAGGCCAAAAGAAAGGAAGAAUAUGCUAUGGUAGCAGCUUGGGGAUUUGAUUCAGAUGAUGAUGAGAUUGAUGAAACAACAUUCAUAGUUGUAGGAGAUUCUGACUUAAAGGAGGAAGAUGAUGCUUCUGAGGUAAGUAUACUUGAACUUAAAUAAAAAUUGCAUUUAUUUUCAAAAAUAAAACCAUUUCCUUGAUGAGUGCACUAAUUGAUGAUUUCUAAGAAUUAACUUCUGAUAGGGAUGAGUUGUUCAACAGUUUUGCAAGUUCAAAAUUUGAUCUCAUUGAUUUAGAAACUUGCAAGAAUACAUUGAAGAAGAAAACUGAACUCUCAAGAAAUAGGUUGCACAACUUGAUUCUUCAAACAAUGAUCUUAAGUUUGAAGUCUUAAAAUUGACAUCACUGAUAAUGGGAAAAUGGCCAUGAGUAAGAAAUAAGAGAGUGCUGAACUUGAAUUAGUCAAGUACAAACAAGAAUGUAAUGAUGCAACUAAUGCAACUAAUAUGGUGAUUAAACUAAGUCAUGAAAUCUCUAAACUGAAACUUGAUCUUGAAAGAGCAAAUAGGUGGACAAAUUCUUCAAGAAUUGUUCAUAAGUUGAGUGAAAGAAAUUAUAGUGAAAAGAUACGUUUGGGUUUCCACAAGAGUUUUGAUAAUCCUAAAGACUUAUGUUAUAUUUGUGGUAACCUUGGACACCCAAUCACUGAAUGUCCUGUGGCGGCAAAAAUCUUAUCUACCAUACAAAACCUAGCUAAUAAAUUUACUCAGACCAAGAAGAAAAUAACUAGUUUUGGUCAGAAAAACAGGUCACAUUAUAUGUUGCCUGCAUGGACUAGAAGAAACUUAAUUCAUCCAUUUACUCAUAAAACAGGAUCCAACCUUAUCUGGGUUCCUAAGUCUAACCAUUGAUUUCUUGCAGGAGAACGUGAAAGGAAGCAAAAAGUAUUGGUACCAGGAAAAUGCUUGCUCAAGACACAUGACUGGAGUUGGAAAAAUGGCAUAUCUGAGUCAAGAGCAUUGGAAGAUGUCUAUCUUGUAGAAGGAUCAAAGCACAACCUGCUGAGCAUUUCACAACUGUGUGAUAAAGGUAAUAAAGUUAUUUUUACUUCUGCAGGAGUCAAAGUCAAGAGGAUAGACACCAAAGAGAUUAUGCUCAUUGCAAAGAGAUACAAAAAUAUAUACAACGUUGAUAUAAUGGCAAUGCCAGGAACAAAGUUGACCUUUCUGAGUGCAAUGAAAAAUGAUCACCUCCUUUGGCAUAGGAAACUUGGACAUACAAGUCUAAAACAACUAAACAUACUUUCUUCCAAAUAUAUGGUAUUGGGAUUGCCCAAGACCAAGUUCAAGAAAGAAAAGUUAUGUAAUGAUUGUGUAAGAGGAAAGCAGGUAAGAUCCUCUUUUAAGUCAAAGAACCAUGUCAGUACUACCAAGUGUCUUGACCUGGUCCAUAUAAACUUGUGUAGACCAAUGAGACUUCAAAGCAGAGGUGGAAAGAGGUAUAUUUUUAUAAUUGUUAAUGAUUAUUCUAGAUUUACCUAGACAUUUUUUCUAGCUUCUAAAGAAGAUGCCUUAGAUGUCUUUAUAAUUUUCAUCAAGAAAAUUAAAAAAAAACUAGGCACUUCUUUAGUUUCCAUAAGAUCUACCAAUGGUACAGAAUGAGAGAAUGUCAAAUUUUUAGAAUUUUGUUCCACAAAUGGUAUAGAUCGUAACUUCUCCGCUCCCAGAAUACCACAACAAAAUGGAGUGGUGGAAAAGAAAAAUAGAACUUUGGAAGAUAUGGCUAGAACAAUGAUGCUUGCAGAAAAUCUUACUAAAAAUCUUUGGGCUGAAACAAUUAGUACUGCAACAUAUAUCAUAAAUAGAUGCAUAAUCAGACCUAUUCUAGAGAAGACUCCUUAUGAAUUACUAAAAAUAAGAAAGCCAAAUAUUCCUCAGUUUAGAACCUUUGGAUGUAAAUAUUUUAUUCAUAAAAAUGGAAAGGAUAAUCUGGAAAAAUUUGAUGCUAAAAGUGAUGAGGGAAUCUUCUUAGGUUAUUCACUUCAUAGUAAGUCUUAUAGGGUUCUAAACAACAAAACAAACUGUGUUGAAGAAAAUAUGCAUGUAGUUUUUGACGAAUCUUGUGUUAAGACUAACUUACAAGAAGGAAGUGACUCAGAGGAACAGUUAUACAACCUGGUUCAUCAACUGUAGCUACCAAAUAUGGAGGCACCUCAACAGGUGAACUGAUUCUAGAGGCAUAGUGACAAGAAGAACUGAGCCACCAACUACCCCAGCUCAGAAUAUCUGCAGUGAUCCUUGUAGCUCAUUAGGUUUGGUCCCAAAAGUUUACAAGUAUCAAGGAUCACUUCCUAUUGAGAAUGUUCUCAUUGAUCUCACUUCUGGGAUCACCAUAAGGUCUGGAUUGAGAAGUACAUGUUCUUUCAAUGCAUUCUUGUUAGAAAUUGAGCCAAAGAAGGUAAAUUAAGCAUUACUUAAUGCUGAUUGGAUCAUAGCCAUGCAGGAAGAGUUAAAUCAGUUUGAGAAAAACAAAGUAUGGUAGUUAGUUCUACUCCCAAAAGACAGAAUAGUAAUUGAAACUAAGUGGGUGUAUAGAAAUAAGGUUGAUGAGCAUAGAACAGUUACAAGAAACAAGACAAGAUUAGUGGUCCAAGGGUACAAUCAAGAAGAAGGAAUAGAUUUUGAUGAGACUUUUGCUCCUGUAGCCAGAAUUAAGGAAAUAAGAUUACUUGUUGCUUUUGCUGCUUAUAUGAAAUUCAUUCUCUAUCAAAUGGAUGUCAUCAAGAGUGCAUUCUUGAAUGGCAUUCUCAAAGAGAAAGUGUAUGUUAACCAACCACCAGGAUUUGAAAGUCAGGAGUUUCCUGAUCAUGUUUAUAAACUAGACAAGGCUUUGUAUAGACUAAAACAAGCUCCAAGAGCUUGUUAUGAAAGAUUGUCAAAGUUUAUUCUGGAGCAUGUCAAAGUUUAUUCUGGAGCAUGGUCAUACUAGAGGUAAAAUUAACAACACUCUUUUCUUAAAAACUAAUGAAAAAGAUCUGUUGGUUGUAUAGGUGUAUGUUGAUGACAUUAUUUUUGGCUCUACAAACAUGAACAUGACUCAUGAGUUUGCUAAAAACAUGAGUUGUGAGUUUGAGAUGAGUAUGAUGGAGAAGAUGAACUUCUUCUUAGGUUUGCAAAUUAAAGAAACACCAUAUGGAACCAUGAUCCAUCAGCAAAAAUAUGUCAAGGAACUUCUCAAAAGAUUUUUCAUGAAAGAAGCAAAAGAGAUCAACACUCCAAUAGCCACUGCCGCAAAACUUGAUUUGGAUGAAAUAGGUCUUGAUGUGGAGUAAAAGUUGUACAGAGAAAUGAUAGGUUCAUUACUGUAUCUCACAGCAAGUAGUCCUAAUAUUGUAUUCAGUGUGGGGAUAUGUGCAAGGUUUCAAGCAAAUUCCAAAGAAUCACAUCUAAAAUCUGUAAAGAGAAUCUUCAGAUAUCUCAAAGGAACCAAUAAUCUUGGCCUAUGGUAUCCAAAAGGUAGUAACUUUAACUUAGUAAGAUACUCUAAAACUGACUUUACAAGAUACUUGGUUGACGGAAGAGCACCACAAGCAUGGGACACUUCCUUAGAUCGUGUUUAAUUACCUGAUCCAUAAAGAAACAAAACUCAAGAGCCUUGUCUACUGGUGAGGCUGAAUAUGUUGUUGUAGGAUCUUGUUGUGCUCAGUUGUUAUAGAUUAAGCAACAACUCAUGGUGUUUGGUAUCGAUGUUGGAUGUGUUUCUAUUUUCUAUGAAAAUACAAGUGUUAUUAAUAUUGCUAAGAAUCUUGUUCAACAUAAAAGAAUUAAGCAUAUUGAUAUUCGACAUCACUUCCUUAGACAUAAUGUUGAAAAGGGGUUGAUAUCAAUCAUGUUGUGUUCUACUGAAGAGCAAAUUGCUGACAUAUUAGCUAAGGCAUUAAGUAGGGAACAUUUUGAAAAAAAUAGGUUCAGGAUAAUUAAAAUUGCGUAAAUCUCCCUCAAUGAUUAACUAGAAUAAGUUGCUAUUAAGUGAUUGUUGAUUAAUUCAGUCUGACACAUUUAGUUGUGUAUCCUAAUUCCAAGAUUUAGAGUAAAUUGACUCAUUCAUGUGUUGAUUUUGCAGAGAGGUUUGAACACAGAAGCAAUUUUAUCCAUUUUAUCCUCAAAUUUAAGGUAUGAUUACUGUUUACCUAUAGUGGCAUAAAGAGAAAUAGGUUGCCUACAUGGUCCUUUUUGCUACACUUAAACCGCCAAAAAUUCAAAAGUCCUUCUCUUUCAAAAAGCUCCCAACCCUUUCCUAUCAAAACUGCACCUCUUUAUCAUUACGUUUCCUCACCAAAUACACUUCAUCCACGGUUCAACUUCCAUCUUUUCACCUUAGAUACACUUUUUUCUCUUCUCAUCAUUCACUACUUAAACAACCAAAAACAAUUCACUAUUCUCUCUCUCUCACUAUGGCAUCUUCAUCUUCUAACCCAUCCUCAGACUCUACCACCACUCCCUGAAUAGCCAUUGUGCUCCAUCCUAAUAUAAGCUUACCACCUCUCAUUCCUCCUCCACCUUUGUUUAAAUUAUCUGAUUUCACAGUGUUCAAAAAUCUAAAAAAACCUCUUUACCCAAUUUUCUUCAAAACCUUCAUCAUCUUCUAACCCCUUACUGCCACCUCUGAUCCUUCUUCAAAUUAUUGAUCGUUAUGAUGUUCCUAUUACAGACCUAAUCCCAUAAAAGUCCAGAUCUAAAGCAAAACAUAAACCCUCUUCCCUUACCAUUAAUGUUGAUGACCAUUCUUUCUAACCCUUCCUCUGUUGUAACCACUCCUCGAACUCCUUAUACUCGAGGUAAAAAAUAAAAGAAAGACGUUUCCUUGGCUGAAACACUUCAAGCUAGCAAAAAGAAAUGAGCUGCUACAUCUACUCCUCUUCCUACUGAACCUUCUCCUGAUAUUCUUCUUUGCUCAGUGCAAAAAAAAGAAGACGAUUAUAAGGAAAGCUCCAAAACCCUCCUUUUCUGGUAAAACCUUAUCUCAACCUACCCUAAAAGCUUCCACAUCCUCUAAACCCACCUUUCUCUUAAAAUCUUCCACAACCUCUAAAGCCUCUCCUACGAAAUCAUCCUCCCAUCUGAAAAAUAGGUCAACAAACUUGUUCCUUAUGAUUUAACUGAGUCUAACUCACCUCUUGAUGCUACUGCUGAGUUGGAUCCUGAUUUUGAUGUUCAUAAACCAUCUUCAAAUCAGGACACUCCUGAACAACACUAUCUCCAUUUUCAAAAGUGUAAGCUAGCUAGAGGUCGUGUUAUUAGUGGUUUUGGAGGUUUUCCUAUGAAUACUUUAUUGAGGAAACUCGAGGUUCAAGGAUGGUCACACAUAUUUCUUCAGGGUGACUUACAAAGAAGGUUUGCUAAGCCUAAAGUGUAUGAGUUCUAUACUAACGGGGUAGCUAUUGGUGAGAUGUUUUCUACAACUAUUCGAGCGAUCACCAUAAAUCUUUAUAUUAUAGAUAUUUCUAGAAUCCUGUACAUUUCUCUAGGGGUGAGGUCACUAUGUCAAGGGAACGUGGCCAUCUCUUGACAAUCUUGCUUCUGCUCUUGAAAUCUCUCGCAAGUUUUCUGAUAACUCUCAACUGGUCAAUCAUUGAAGGGUUCUUAAAAAGGAGAUAUCUCCACUCCAUCAACUCUAUUUUGAUGUUGUGCAAAGGAUGCUAACCCUUAGGAAGGAAAGAAGGACUGUAACCAACUUUCUUGACCUUACUCUUAUGUAGUUGCUGGACACUGAGGUCAAAAUUGAUAUGCCUAGGCUUAUCCUGAAGCAUAUGAAAGGGGUUCUCCUCAAGAAAGUAAAUUGCCAUUCUUUUCCUUACGAAUUCUGGCUCACCCCUAUGUUGAAGAGCUUGGUGUGUCUGUCCAAGUGUGGUCUUUACAGACUACAAAAGAUAUUAUCAGGAGUGUGAACCAUGUGCACCUACCUGUUUCUAUGAGAAGUGCAGACAACCCUAAUCAACGCCUAAGGAAUGCACUUAAAGCUAAAGAUGCUGAGUUGGAGGUGUAGACACGUAAUUUCCCCCCCCCCCCCCAAAAACUCAAUUCAUCCAUUUCUUACCUCACGGUAUCUUACACCCUCACCCAUGUAAUUAUACACCACAAAAAUACAAAAAAAAUAACAGCCCCUUACUAAUUUUAACCAUCCUAACAACCUCUCUAGUUAAAAUUAGGACACCUCACCAUGUGACCACCCUACCCACGUGACCCCCUUUUAUUUCUUGUCCACAAAGAAAGAAAAAGGGACCCACACCCCUAACCCACAUCCGGAUACCCCACAUACCCCCUCAUUCAUCAAUAUAUGCACACAGAAAAUACAUUCGGGGGUAGAGAAACAACAAUACAAGCCAUAUAUACAAUUCACACAGGAUACUCCCAAUAGUAUUCAAGAGAAUUCACUGGAAAAGAAACUGUGUACGAACCUUCACACUACACCCAUAAGAUAAUCGUUUUUUCCAUGGAAUAAGGGAGAGAUAACCAGAAUUCACAAAGCCCAUCAGAGAAGAAAUAGAAUAUGCACACACAGUGGGAUCGAGAGAAGAGAGAGAGAGAGAGAGGAUAGAUUCUAUUUUUUGGGCUUGUUUCUUCAGCCUUUUCAAAAACGUACAUAUACACACACUAAUUUGCACACAUAGUGAGAAAAAUAAGUUUGAUAGAGGUCAUGUGAUGAAAAUAAGGCGAGAAAUAGUCAAGCCGAUUUUCAGACAGAUUUGGAUGGGAAACAAUGCGUUCACCGGAAUCCAACUUCUUCCCGUUAAUCUCAUGACCACUGUUAGCUCCCGAAGUUUGUAUCGUGUGGGUUUUUAGUUUUAUAUUAGAUUUUUUGGGUUAUAUAUUGUGGGAUUCAUUGUCGAGGUCAUGUUUUGGGGUUCUGACAUGACCAAGUCAUGUCAAGAUUUAGAAUUCGAUUCUCAUAUCAAGGUUUACUCCUGUUUGAAAUCUUUCUGGUUGAGAAUCCCAGGUUACCAAGAAGGAUGGUCAUCGUUGAGGUUCCUGUUUGAGGAUUUGGGUCUUCGAAUUUCACUUUAUUAUCGACAAAGACGUUUUAUCGAGGUCUAUUCUCUUAACCCGCUCUCUUUUCUUUAUCUCGAUUUAUUGAAUUAUCUUAAUUAUGUGUGAUGUGAUCAUGGUUGGUGGAUUUUUGUUAAUUUUAUGAUGUCAUGAUUAUGUGCUUCACAAUGUGUUUUUGCUGAUUUGUGAAACGAAGAGGAGUAAUUGUUGGUGCAAUUGAUGAAAUAUGAAAGCUAACGGGGGUUUGGAAUUGAAAUUGAUAAAAAGCAAUCAUUAAUUUAUUUUGAUUCAUUGAAUAUCAUUCUUAAGUUUGAUAGUAUCAUGUCUUAGGCCGUGAAUCAUUAGGCAAACUUAGGGACUGUGAAAUUGGUGUAAUGUUUAAAUGUGCGUGAUUGAAUGGUUUUUGACUUUAUCGCUUUGGGUCACUUGUAUCAUUUGGCCGGGGAAUGCUCCAAAGUACUUGUAUUAUUUUAUCCGAGGAAUGCCCCGAAGUAUUAUGUACUCGGGGGACAUUCGUGAUGAAGGCCCGAGGUAUCGGGUGAGGCAUUGGAGCUUAGUCUAGGAGUAGUUUAGAAUAAGAUUUACAUUUUUGUAUUUUUCCUAUUUUUGGGGACUAUAUAAAUUGGACUGGACACUAUUUUGAUUCGUUCUAUUUUGUUUUUUGGUUUGAUUAUUUUACAUGUUUUGUGUGGUUUGUACAUUUGUAGUGUCAAAUUAGCCAAUAUGCUCCAGCAAGAGAUCGUAGUCGAACAACGGGAUCAAGGGGUGCUUAACACCUUCCCCUCGGUCAACAGAAUUCCUUAGCUGGAAUCUCUGUUCGUAAACCAGUCUUAAAGAGUCAAAUCAUUUUGAAAAGGAUUUUCAAAGGUGACUUGGCACACCGGAUUAUGCCAAGUGGAGACUCUGAAUAAAAAGUAUAUAAAUAGUCCUUUUUUGAAACAAACCUUCAUUUUUGUCACUUUAGCAAUAAAAACCCUUUCGAACUUUAAUCUAAUUCUUUUCGAAGUGAAAAAGGGGUGUGACAGCUCUAGCGACUCUGCUGGGGAUUAUUCAGAAUUCAAGCUUAUUUUUGGAGUUGUAUCGGCUUAGUUUGACAUUAUAAGUGUAUAGAUAUUUUGUUUGUAUUGUUUUGUGUUAUUGUUUAUCAUUGUUGAGUGCCUAUGUGUUCUUUGUUUAUAAUUUUUACCUUUUUUGUUACUGCUUUAUAUCUGGCAUCAUAUGCAUAACCCGAGUCAUUCUUUUUGCAACAAGUCCAUAGUACACGUGUGUACACGACCUAUAGUUGAGUCACCCUUAUUUUUAGGAGGGGAAGCCAGUAGGUUGUAUGGAGUAGGUGGAAAGCCUUCAUAUCCACUAUCAACUAUACGCUCCCCCGAACAGCCUUGUUAGUAAACCUCAACGUAGGUCAGCCUUUAGGUCAUGCUUAUGUACAUUAUAUUGAGACCUAGCAGGGUCCACUUGAUCCUUCGUAGGAGACUCGCCUCUAAUGAAUCCCUACAUGCUAAAUGUUGUAUCUCUAAGGGUAACGUGAUCAUUUGAUGGACUGGUUUGGGGAAAACAUGUGUUAGAAGUAAGGUGUGCAGGCAAGAAAAAAAAGAAGAAAAAAAAGAAGAAAAAAAUGAUGAAAAGAUUCAGAAAGAGUUUCGUAGUUCUUUAUGGCUUUUGAUUUUUUUUCACAAUCCAAAAUUCAAAAAUAUUUUUUACUUUUCACACUCAUUUUCUCAAAAAUAUCAAAAAGAUUUUUCUUUCAUAAUUGUUGAUUUCAAUGUUAUGUGAAGUGUCUAAUUUAAAAAUCCAAAAAGAUUUUAUUUACAUUGUUCAUCGUCUGUCUUUGGUCAGGUCUCUUAAGUCAGGGUUCAGUUCGUUAUGUAAUCCUUAAUUGUUCAAUCUACGCACCCCUGAUUCUCCUCUUUCGGGAGUGAGAUACGUAGGCAGCCUAUUGUUGGUUUGGGGAUCUUAUUUCAAAAAAUUCAAAAAAUAUUUUCUUCACUCUUCAUUUAGAGUAGGUUUUUCAUAUAUAUCUUUAAAAGAAAACUACAAAAAUAUUUCUUUACUAGUUUUAAGUUUCAUUGUCAUAUGAAAUUCAAAAUCAAAACUCAAAAAAAGAUUUUCUUUGGUAAUCGUGAGUUUCAUUUUGUAUAUGAAUCUAAAAAAAAAAACUAAAAAAGGUUUUCUUCACUCUUCAUUUAGAGUAGAUAUCAUAUACAUCUUUAAAACAAAACCACAAAAAGAUUUUUCUUUAAUAGUUUCAAGUUUCAUUUUCGUGUGAAAUGCAAAAUUGAAAACUAAAAAAAAAUAAAAUUUAAAGCUGAAAAAUUUAAAAAGAUUUUCGUCAAUUCUUUUGACAAAUUGUUAUUUUCUUUUCUUCUUAAGGUUUCAAGAAAAAAGAAAAAGAAAGGAAAAAGAGUUUAACUAGCCAUUUUGGCAAAACUUCACGAACUACGCACACCUGAUUCUCCCCUUUCGGGGUGAGAUACGUAGGCGCCCUUUUAGGAUCCGGUGAUCAUUUCUAGAAAGAAAAAAGGUUUUGAAAAAUUAUUGAACUCUAACGCAUUUUCUAUCUCUUGUCCAGUUAGUUUAAGGUGGUUGGUUUGUGGCAUUUUGGCUAGUCCUCCAUAUUUCUCCAAGUCAUAGAGAAAGUUAUGGCCAACAAGGAUACCGAGUUAGUUGUCACUAAUUAGAUAGGGAGUUUGGGGAAUGAGAAUGUAGGAGCUAAUGAAGAGAUUCGGAAAUUAAGGCAGCAAAUGAUAGAAAUGCAUCGAGCUUGGUCUAAUGGGUUGCCGCCUCUUCCUUUUCCCGCUGAUAAUCUGAAAUAUCUUUCUAGUUUGCCUCUAGUGUCACAUGCACAAUUUCCUAUUUUGGUCGACACGCCACAACAUGCAUCAGGACCUACUCUGGGGAAACAGUAUCAAGACACUUCCAAUAUUCAUUUCCUCACUCCUCAAUACAAAAUUACCACAUGCUUGGCUCCACCUGCUAUUCAUGAUUUUGCAGCCCCACUCUCGUCUGAAGCUCCUGAUUUUAGUGUCAAUCCAACGGUUGUGAUUCCUCACUCUACAAGCGACCCUGUAUUGAAUAUUUUAGUGAUCAGCAUUAUGCUUCUGAGCCCACAUUUAAGUUGACUAGUCCUUACGAUUGCACUAAAUCGCCUGAAUUUCCUCCUAACAUUGAGAAGCCUGUUAUGAUAGAAGAACAAGAGGAAAUGACUAGAAAAUUGAGAAGUUUGGAACUGAAUAUGAAAAACUUGCAAGGAAUUGGGAGGUACAAAAGUGUCUCAUAUAAAGAUCUGUGCAUGUUUCCAGGUGUACAUCUUCCUCUUAAUUUUAAAAUGCCGAAGUUUGAGAAGUGUGAUAGACAUGGCAAUCCUAUAGCACAUUUGAGAUGCUAUUGCAAUCAGCUAAGGGGUGCUGAAGGGAAGGAAGAAUUACUCAUGACAUAUUUUGGUGAGAGUCUUUCAGGUCUAGCUUCAGAAUGGUUUGUUGACCAAGACAUCGACAAGUGGAACAGCUGGGAUGACCUGAAUAAUGAAUUCAUGCAACAAUUUCAAUACAAUAUGGAGUUGAUUCCUGAUGAGAAAUCCCUAACUAAUAUGAAGAAAAAAGAGUACUAAAAUUUUCAGAGAGUAAGCGAUUAGAUGGCGUGAACAAGAUGCUAGGGUGAAACUGCUAAUGAAAGAAACUAAGAUGGUGGAGGCAUUUAUUCAAGCGUAGGAUGAAACAUAUUAUCAUACUUGUUACCCGCAUUAGGCAAGCCAUUUAUUGAGGUCCUCAAAAUGGAGGACAUAAUAGAGGAUCAAAUUAAGCCCGAUUGGAUUAUGAGUUUUGCAAUAUUGAAAGAGACUACUCAAGAAAUUUAAAAAGGUUCGAGAAGUGUUGGAGGAAAGAAGAAGGAGAAAGAUGCAUUUGCUAUUGUAGUGGGACAACAGGCAUGGUCAAGCGGACCAUGGCAUCGUUACCAUCAGGCUCAAACCCAAGUUUAUGCCCAAUCUCCAAAGAAUCACUCCCAAAAUCCAUUUUACUCCAUUCCCCCACCUCCAUAUCCAGUGUAUAAUGCACAACCAUAUAUUCAACCCCUAAAUUACCCGCAAUAGCAUACACCAACUCUUCAAAGUCAUCCUCUAACUCCAUAAACAUACCAAACCCCUUCUAGGCCAGAUGUUCGAUUUAAGUAAAAUAAUGAAAUGAGGCCGAAGUCGAGAGAUAGCUUCACACCAAUUGGAGAGUCAUAUGACAGUUUAUUUCAGAGAUUGGUACAACAGGGAAUGAUCACUCCUCUCCUUGGGUAUACUCCUGGCCCACAUUCAAGAAGUUUUGAUCCUAAUGUACAAUGUUCAUAUUAUUCUGAUGUUCAGGGUCACAGUAUUGAAAAUUGUCGUGCUUUGAAAAGAGAAAUUGAAAAGAUGAUUCAAGAUAAAUCAAUUAUGAUGCAGAAUAUUGACAGUGAGGAAAUAUCUAGUCAUGCUAAUAUGCAAACCAGUGGUUGAGAUGUCAGGAUGAGCAAUUGAAAAGUCACCCCUCUCCCUACUAUGAAGGGGUCUGGUAGCUUGUUUUGUUUUAUUUUCUAUUAUCCAAAUUAUUUCAGGGAUGUAGUUCGAGAAAUAUCUUGUUUUGUCCUUUUUUCAUUAUGUUCAAACCCUUCAAUCUUUCAUUUUAAUUAAAUGGGGUGCCCCUUUUUCCUUUGUGUUUUAAAUAUGUAUUGUUUGUUUAUUUUCUUUAUAUUGUAUAUUUUAUGUUGAUUCUAGUGUUAUGACAUGCUAGGAGAAUUUUCAGACAGAUCUUAAAAUCCAGUUUAAGCAUGAGCACUGAGUCAAAGGAUUAAUGUUAGAAAAAUAAGAGUAUCUAAGGACAUAGGUAAAGUGUUGAGACAUUUGGUGACAAGUUGAAGCCUUCUUUGAAAAAUUAAGGUAAUUAUUUUGAGAAUCACAAGAAUAACUUGGCCAUCAAUUGAAAAACAUUUCUCAAUUAGGUUAAAUAGUGAAUGUGUGGACCUAUAUCAAAAGGAAUAGAAAAUCAGCUUCACGAAAGCAUGAGUCAUUUGAUGUGAGGAAUGUACAACACAGGUAGAGUUUGCAGAAGAAGUAGUGAAAGACAGACUCAGUCAAAGUUAAUGUUGUAAGAGAUGUCACGAAUGAUCUCCAUCUUUCAUUUUCACAUUUCAUGAUGUGUACUUGCAUUUUCAAAGAUUGAUAUGAUGAAGGCAUUUUAUUCUGCUAUCCAAACAUUGUGUCAUCCUUUGUUUACCCUAUUUGAGCUUUUGUUCUAUUUUCUUUCAUACCCCUCUUUUGGAAUCAAGAUAGAGUUAGCAAAACUCAAAAGAAAAGUGUCGAGUAAAAGAAUAGAGUCAGAAAGUUUAAAAAAAAAAAAGAAAAAAAUGUGUCCAAAAAGAAAAAAAAGUGUUAAGAAAAAUAAAGUCAGAAAAGUCUCAAAGAGAAAAGGAGUCAAGAAAAGAAAAAGAAGAAAUCAGAAUCAAGAAAAACAAGUUGCCAGUACUACGCGUGACCUGAUUCUCCUCUCUUGGGGGUGAGAUACGUAGGCUGCCCUACUCUGGGCUCGGUCCAAUCAAAUGAACAGUUUUAGAAUUGCCCAGCCAAAAGAAACUGGGGUAUGAGUUAAUCCUCAUUGUUUGAGUCGGUUCCAAAAGUUGUAAGUCCUACCCCACUUCAAGUGUCUUUGGGCCUCAUGUCAUCCUUUCUUUCUAACCUUAUCCAAAAGCGAAGCUACAACUAAAGAAAGACCUUUAGAUCAAUCUUUAAGAAUGUUAAGGACAAGCAUUCAAUGCAUAUGAUGACACAUUUUGGGAACUGCUCAUCCUCUUCAGCAUAGGGAAUCAAGAGAGAAAUAAAAAUGAGAGAGUCUUAUUGGUGAAAACCUCACGAGCACCAUAAGGCGAUGGUAAGUGAGAGAGAUAAAAAUGUGAGAAUCUUAUCGGUAAAAACCCUCAUGAGCACCAUAAGAUGACUGUGAGUUGAGAGAAAUGAUAAUAAGAGAGUCUCAAUGGUGAAAAACCCUCACAGACAUCAUAAGGCAAUGGUGAACUGAUAAAAAAAAUGAGAGAGGCUUGUUGGCAAAAACCCUUCAAGGUGUCACUAGCCGAAUGAGGUCUUAAAUCCAAUUGGCCUAAGGAAGCAACUCAAAUUUCAAGGCCAUUAACUCAACAACAAUUGGUGAAAGUUCGAAUGAAAAGAUCAGGCAACUUAAUUCAAAAUUCAUGGCAUAAUCAUUAGAGUUGACUGAUAUUUUUAGAUAAAUUUUUUGUUUCUUUGUUUCAAAUGGAGGCAUUCAUUGUCUUUUCUUUCUUCUCUUUAUUUUUGUUUUAGUUUUCUUGAGUCAGUUAUCUAAAUAGAAAUCAUUAUCAUUUUUUUCCCCUUGUCUUUGAGUCAAUUCCAUAUCAAAACAAGUGAGAAAAGAUUUCAAAACUGGAUACCAGUUUCUCCAAUUGCAUAAAGCAAGACAAAAGCUAACCCAUGAAAAAUACAUGAUUGUGAGCCAAAAUAAAGCUGCAAAAAGUUUUGUCAAACAGAUAGGUUUGAAAACUUAUGAAAAUGCCAAGGUUCAAGGGGUUUAUCUGAGGAGCAUGGAAAAGCAGAGAUACUGUAAUUGUUUCAGAGUCACUCUUGAUAAUCUAAGUUUGGUCAAUGAUGCAGCAAGUCAAUGACAUAUUCUAAUAGUUGGAAGCAAGGUUAAAUAUGACGGGGCCAAGAGAAAUUACCGCAAAAGCUAAAGCCAAAAACCAGCCACCAUGUUUUUAAACUAAUAAUUUUUCUUUGCAUGCAACAGGAACACAUGCUACCUUUGAAUCAAGGAUUUCAAAGCCUAAACAUCAAAGGCUGUAAUAUUCUCACUUCUGCAAAUGCAAGAGGCAAUAUUGCUGCACAAAUUUGGUAUUUAAAACCAUGGUAAUUCAAGUGACAUUUGUAAGGAGAUGCACUUCUCUGUUUGGGCAAUUCAACCAAUAUUUGUGAGGAGACGCACUUCCUUAUUUUUGGUAAUUCAAGCGAAAUUUGUAAGAAGAUGCACCUCCUUGUUUAGGUAAUUCAAGUGACAUUUUUAAGGACACGUACUUCAUUGUUUGGGUAAUUCAAGCAACAUUUGUAAGGAGACGCACUUCCUUGUUUGGUAAUUAAAGCGGUAUUUGUGAGGAGACGCACUUCCUUGUUUGGUAAUUCAAGUGGUAUUUGUAAGGAGAUGUAUUUCCUUAUUUGGGCAAUUCAAGCAACAUUUGUAAGGAGACACACUUCCUUAUUUGGGUAAUUCAAGUAACAUUUUUAAGGAAACACACUUCCUUGUUUGGGUAAUUCAAGCAACAUUUGUAAGGAGACACACUUCCUUUUUUAGGUAAUUCAAGUAAUAUUUGUAAGGAAAUGCACUUCCUUGUUUGGUUAAUUCAAGCAACAUUUGUAAGGGGACACACUUCCUUGUUUGGACCAUUCAAGCAACUUUUGUAAGGAGACACAGUUCCUUAUUUUGGUUAUUCAAGCAACAUUUGUAAGCAGAUGCAAUUCUUUGUGUAGGUAAUUCAAGUGACAUUUGUGAGGAAAUGCACUUUCUUAUUUGGGUAAUUCAACUGGCAUUUAUGAGGAGACUCACUUCCUUUUUUGUUUAAAUCAAGCGGCAUUGGUAAGGAAACGUAUUUCCUUAUUAGGUAAUUCGAGCAACAUUUGUAAGGAGACGCACUUUCUUGUUUGGUUAAUUCAUGAAACAUUUGUAAGGAGAUGCACUUCUUUGUUUGGUUAAUUCAAGAAACAUUUGUGAGGAUACGAACUUCCUUAUUUAGUUAAUUCAAGCAACAUUUGUAAAGAGAUACACUUCCUUUCUUGGGCAAUUCGAGCAAUAUUGGUAAGGAGACGCACUUCCUUGUUUGAGUAAUUCAAGCGGCAUUGUUAAGGAGACGCACUACCUUAUUUUGAUAAUUCAAGCAUCAUUGGUAAGGAGAUGGAUUUCCUUGUUUUGAUAAUUAAAGAAAUAUUGGUAAGGAGACGCACUUUCUUAUUUGAGUAAUUCAAGCGGCAUUGGUAAGGAGACUCACUUCCUUAUUUUGGUAAUUCAAGUGGCAUUGUAAGGAAAUACACUUCCUUGUUUUGAUAAUUCAAGAAACAUUGGUAAGGAGAUGCACUUCUUUUAUGGGGUAAUUUGAAAUUUGCUUUUUGGGUAAUGCACUUCUUAAGUCUUGAUUCCUAGUAGAUGUACCUCCUAGUCGAGUCAGUCCCCUUGAUUUCUAGGAAAUGCACUUUCUAGUCGAGUUAUUUCACUUAAUCCUUAGGAGACGCACUUCUUUGCUAGUUUUCAUUUGUCAGGUGACACACUUUUUUAACUUAAACUUGUAUCUCUAGAAGAUGCACUUUCUAGUUAGAAUCCCUUACUUUAAUUCUUAGGAGACGCACUUCCUAGUCUUGGUUAUUUAAUUUUACUCUCAAGAGAUACAUUUAUUAUUCAGAGUCUCGAUUCAUUAUUGCAACAUGCAAGUAGGUAUGAUGUGACUUUUCCAAAAGUCUUCUGAAGAUAAACUGGGGCAAAAAUUCAAUUUCUAUUUUUGAAACUUUUCUUUUCUGGCAAACAGAAUUUCUCUUUACAAUAGUUUUUGUUUGGGAUAAUUUUCUUUCUAGUUUUGAUGUGAUUUCAGGUGUCCGCCUGAAGAACAGGGAGAAUAAUGAAAAUUCAAACAAUAAGGUAAAGAAUUUGAAAGUCAAGCAACAAGGUGAAGAAAUUGAAAGUCAACAAAUUCAAAAAUAGCAAGUCAGGAGCCCACCUGAAGAAUAGGGUGAUGAAACUUAAGUCAAGAGUCCAAAAGAAGCUGCGUAGAUAGUAUUUUGUAAUUUCAUUUCUAUUUUAACUUUUGAUUUUAUUUUGAUGUAAUUGCAAAACUGCGGACCAGAACCUCGACGGGACCUCACUCGACUCUCUAACUCGGUAUUGUCCAUCUCCCUCCAAUCCUUUGAGAUACCUGUCACUUGAUUUCCUUAUAACUUGGGUAGUUAGGAUGUCUAAAGUCAAGAUUCAGUUGUCCUCCUUCCUUUUAUUUCUUCCUUCGAAUAAUAGUCGGGUCAAAAUUCUGUCUUGCUGUCUACUUCUUUGUAUGAAAACACUUUGUGUUUACAUGCAAAGAGGGGCAUGAUGUAGACACACAAUUUUGUCCCUCCCAAAAACUCAAUUCAUCCAUUUCUUACCUCACGGUAUCAUACACCCUCACCCAUGUAAUUAUACACCACAAAAAUACAAAAAAUAAUAGCCCCUAACUAAUUUUAACCAUCCUAACAACCUCUCCAAUUAAAAUUAGGACACCUCACCAUGUGACCACCCUACCCAUGUGACCCUCUUUUAUUUAUUGUCCACAAAGAAAGAAAAAGGGACCCACACCCCUAACCCACAUCCGGAUACCCCACAUACCCCCUCAUUCAUCAAUAUAUGCACACAGAAAACACAUUCAGGGGUAGAGGAACAACAAUACAAGCCAUAUAUACAAUUCACACAGGAUACUCCCAAUGGCAUUCAAGAGAAUUCACUGGAAAAGAAACUGUGUACGAACCUUCACACUACACCCAUAAGAUAAUCAUUUUUUCCAUGGAAUAAGGGAGAGAUCACCAGAAUUCACACAGCCCACCAGAGAAAAAAUAGAACACGCACACACAGUGGGAUCGAGAGACGAGAGAGAGAGGACAAAUUCCAUUUUUUGGGCUUGUUUCUCCUGCAUCAUUGAAAACGUACAUAUACACACACUAAUCCACGCACAUGGGACAGAUUUGGACGGGAAACAACACGUUCACCGGAAUCCAACCUCUUCCCAUCAAUCUCGUGACCACUGUUAGCUCCCCGAAGUUCGUAUCAUAUGGGUUUUUAGUUUUAUAUUGGAUUUUUGGGGUUAUAUGUUGUAGGAUUCAUUGUUGAGGUCAUGUUUUGGGGUUCUGACGUGACCAAGUCAUGUCAAGAUUCGGAAUUCGAUUUUCAUAUCGAGGUUUACUCCUGUUUGAAAUCUGUUUGGUUGAGAAUCCCGGGUUACUGAGAAGGUUGGUCGUCAUUGAGGUUCCCAUUCGAAGAUUUUGGUCUUCGUAUUUCUCUUUAUUAUCGACAAAGACGUUUUAUCGAGGUUCGUUCUCUUAACCCACUCUCUUUUCUUUAUCUCAAUUUAUUGAAUUAUCGUUAUUAUGUGUGAUGUAAUAAUGGUUGGUGGAUUUUUGUUAAUGUUAUGAUGUCAUGAUUAUGUGCUUUACGAUGUGUUUUCGAUGAUAUGUGAAACGAAGAGGAGUAAUUGUUGGUACGAUUGAUGAAAAAUGAAAGCUAGCAGGGGGUUGGAAUUGAAAUUGAUAAAAAGCAAUCAUUAAUUUAUUUUGAUUCAUUGAAUAUCGUUGUUAAGUUUGAUAGUAUCAUGUCUUAGGCCAUGAAUCGUUAGGAAAAUUUAGGGAUUGUGAAAUUGGUGAAAUGUUUAAAUGUGCGUGAUUGAAUGGUUUUUGACUUUAUCUCUUUGGGUCACUUGUAUCAUUUGGAUGGGGAAUGCCCCGAAGUACUUGUAUUAUUUUAUCUGGGGAAUUCCCCAAAGUAUUAUGUACUCGGAGGACGUUCGUGAUGAAGGCCUGAGGCAUCAGGUGAGGCAUUGGAGCUUAGUCUAGGAUUAGUUUAGAAUAGAAUUUACAUUUUCGUAUUUUUCAUAUUUUUGGGGACUGUAUAACUUAGAUUGGACACUAUUUUUAUUCGUUCUAUUUUGUUUGUUGGUUUGAUUGUUUUACGUAUUUUGUGUGGUUUGUACAUUUGUAGUGUCAAAUUAGCCAAUAUGCUCCACCAAGCGACUGUGGUCGAACCACGGGAUCGAGGGGUGCCUAACACCUUCCCCUCGGUCAAUAGAAUUCCUUAGCUAGAAUCUCUGUUCGCAAACCAGUCUUAAAGAGUCAAAUCAUUUUGAAAAAGAUUUUUCAAAGGUUACUUGGUACACCGAAUUAUGCCAAGUGGCGACUCUGAAUAAAAAAUAUAUAAAUAGUCCUUUUUCAAAACAAACCUUCAUUUUUGUCACUUUAGCAAUAAAAACCCUUUCAAACUUUAAUCUAAUUCUUUUCGAAGUGAAAAAGGGGUGUGACAGGAGGUUGCUCAGGCUGCACUGGAUGCUACUCAGGCUACCCAUGAUGAUGAGAAAAGGGCUCUCCUUGAUCAAAUUGCCUCACUUACAGCUACCUUAGAGCGUGAACGGGCUGAGAACGUUGAGAUUGUUUGAAAGUUGACCUCCCUUAUCCCCUCCUCCUCUCUACUUAGUUCCCAUCUUAGUACUUUAAGACUAUUUUCCUUGAUUCCUUUCCUAGGUCGGGUAAGGAUAAUUGUAUCUUGCUUUUUGAAUGAAAUGGACUUGCUUAAUUUUUUAUGAUCUGCUUCUACUUUUUUCAUAAUGCAUAAAUGUUCUCUUACUCUGGGUUUUGAUUAUUUUAGUGAUAGCCCCAGUGGCGAUGAAUUAUUAAACAUUUUUCACUUUUUGGGCCCAGUUUUUCAAUAAUGUCAAAAGGGGGAAAAUAGAUUAAUGCAAUGCUUAUAACUAAAUUGACUAACCUGUUUCAUUCUGUGUUCUUUUAUCUAAUUCCUUUAUUAAGAAUGUCAGGAACUUGUGAUGGAUGUUGCAUUGCAUAAGUUUUUCAUCAUCAAAAAGGGGCAUUUGUUAGGAAACUGAAGUUUUGAUGAUGGACAUAUGAAUGAAACAUCUUGCGCAAGCUGGUCCAGACAAGUGUAGAGAAGAGUAGUUACAGGCAAGGCCACUGAUAAGAGAGUAGUGCAUAAAAACAGAAGUAGAUAUGCAAGAACAUUCAUAUAUGCUCUCAACACUUAUCACAUGCAGUAAAGAAUACAAAAAGGAGAAGACAAGUAAAACAUCUAGAAAUUGAGUUGAUCAAGGAGUCUUGUCAUGCUUAGGGAUAAAGAAAAAGAGUUCUACUGUGCCAAGGAGAGAGAGACGGCUGCAACAAGGAGUGAAACUACCUGAUAGAGUCCUAGAAAAGAAAGAAGUGCACAUAAUAUAAAGGUCUCUAUAUAGAAUGGGUGCACCCUAGGGAGACACACUGGGCCUUAUAAAACCCUUAUUAAGAAGAUCUUUGAGUUGCUCUUUCAACUCCUUAAGUUCUGCGGGGGCCAUACAAUAUGGAGGAAUAGAAUAGGUUGUGUAUCAGGGAGAAGAUCAAUUUCGAACUCUAUCUCUUUAUCGGGAGGUACCCCUGGGAGAUCUUUCUGGAAAACAUCAGGAAACUCAUUGACAAUACUAAUAGAUUGAAUAGUCGGAGUCUCAGACUUAUUGUCCUUAACUCGAACUAAAUGAUAUAUACAACCCUUGGAUAUCAAUUUCCUAGCUUUAAGAUAGGAUAUGAAAUGACUUUUAGGAGAUACAGAAUUUCCGGACCACUCAAAGACUGCCUCAUUGGGAAACUGAAACUUGACUACACAGGUACGACAGUCUAUAGAUGCAUAACAAGAGUGAAGCCAAUCUAUACCCAGAAUAAUAUCAAAAUCAACCAUGUCUAGCUCAAUCAAAUCUGCAAACAUAACUCUGUGAAGGACAGUGAUAGAAUACUUCUUAUAUAUUUGCUUAGCCCCAACAAAUCCACCCACUGGUGUAGAGACUAGAAAAGGCUCAAAAAUCUUUUCAGCACUGAUUUCAAAAUUCACAGCCACCAACGAAGUCAUAUAGGAAAGAUUUAACCCAGGGUCCAUCAAUAUAUACACAUCAAAAUAAAAUACACGAAGCGUACCAGUAAUAAUAUCUGGUGAAUCCUCCUGCUCUUGGCGGGGUGGUAUAGCAUAAAAGCAAUUUUGGCGCUGACCACCUGCAGUACUAGACGAGGCACCCUGAAGAGAAGUAGGAUGAACUACAGGGGCUAGAGCACUAAUAGUCUGACUCUGAGGAAGAACAUCAUAACUCCCUUGUCUAGCAUAUAGGCAAUCUCUAAACUUGUGGCCUAACUUACCGCAAAAAAACAACUCCUCUGACUGACUAAGCACUCACUGAUAUGGUUCCUACCGCACUUCAGAAUGGGGGAGGACGAGGUCUGUUACUUACACUGUCCUAGGACCUAGGCAUAGUAGGCCUAUUACCCUGAUCCGACCUAAUUCUGAAUGCAGGAGUACUGGCUGAUGAAGGUUCUAGCAUAAGAGAACGGCUCUGGGACUGAGGACGGAUCCCUCCAGAAAAUCUAGUCUGACUAUACCCCUGUUGCUCUGAUCUAACUCUCUUAUUUCCUCUCACUCUCUCUCUCUCCUUCACUUUGUCUGCUUCAAUCUUCUGAGCAUGAACCAUUAGUCUUGAAAGGUCCAUGUCCCUAUUAAGCAUAGCGGAUCUACCCUCUUUCACAACAUAACCAGAUACACCAGCCAAGAACUUACUCAUACUAGUUCUAGAAUCGGUCAUCAUACCGGGAGCAUACUUACAUAACUGAUUAAACUUAUGGCAAUACUCCUUAACUAUCAUGGGGCCCUAUCUCAAGUUUAUAAAUUCUUCUAAUUUUGCUUCCCUCAGCUCCAGGGGAAAGAAUCUAUCUAAGAAGGCAUCUUGGAAUAAUUUCCAAGUCACAGAAGCAUCAUUCUUCCCUCUACUUUUCCUCCACAUCUCCACCUAAUCAUAAGCAACAUCUUUCAUUCGAUAGGCAGCCAAUUCAACACUCUCCUCCAUAGUCACGUGCAUAAUCUGAGUGAUUUUUCUCACUUUAUCUAAAUAUAUUUAUGGGUCCUCACCUACUUUCGACCCAUAGAACUCAGGUGGAUUCAUUUGCAUAAAGUCACGAACCCGAGCUAUAGCAAAAUUAUUACCUUGUGGAGGCGGAACAGUAGCCUGGGUAUUGGCUUGGGCGUUGGCGGUGACCGCCUGGGCUAGCGCUUGGAAAGCUGCCCGAAAUUCAGCAUGGGAUACCGUCUCACCUAAAGAAUCAAUGGGUUGAGGUCAUUAGUUGGUUCUGCAAGCUCUACGAGGAGACAUUUUCUGUCAUAAGAGAGCAUGAAUUAACAGCAGAGAGAAAUAGUCAUAGGCACGAUAGACUAUUGAAAGAAAGAAAUAACUUUUCCUAAAAUGUCCUGUAGCCUCUUACUCAUAGAUGUGGCGCGGUACACACCGAUGAUCAAGACUCUAUGUAACGCGUCUUGUCAGACUCCGUAGGACUCUUCAAACCUUAGGCUUUGAUACCAAGUUUGUAACACCCCAAGAAUCAAUCCCGAGACGUGACAUGGUGCUCAAGGCCACACGUGGCCUCAAGCUAACCCUCUAAGCCUGUCAUCACUUUCAGAACUCAUUAUAGCACAAAUCAUGCUAAGAUAAAGAGGAAUAACCAUGUUAUGAACAUACUGAAAUACGAUGUAAUACUUCCCUGUACAAAUAAAAUACUGAAAUCUCUGUACACGCUGGUACAAUAAUCUGACAAAAACUCUACUACAUAGGACUGAGGAGCCAUUGGGACAGAUCCCCAACUGACUUGUACUGAACUGAAAGUAAACAACCAUCUAUUAAUAAGACAAAAUCGGAGACAUAGAUCCUCGAAACAUGAGGACUCACCAACCGCAGAAAUGUAGAUGAAGGUACUCAAAGAUCACUGUCGCUGCUGAGACUAAGCACCUGAACCUAUAUCAUGAGAAAAUAUAGAAUACAAAAGAGUAUGGAAGUCAGUACUUGGGAAUGUACUGAGUAUGUAGGGGUGGAUGCAACAUUUUAAAUAAUAUCAUAAAUGUAUAAGAAAAUCAUGCAUGCUGAUAAUAAUAACUUUCUUUGCUUGAAUUAUCUAAAACAUCAUUUCUGUAAGUCAUCAGUAAAAACAUAUGCUUCAUAAAUCUCAUAAAUCAUUUAACUCAACUCAAACUCUUUGACUCAUGACUUAGAGUGACUCGGUAACUCAUGUUACUUAGAUGAUUAUGGGCGUGGGAGUUUCUUAUAACCGACAUAACUACACCAUGUGAGCCGCAUGGAGUCCAACGUUUUUCCCUCCUAAGGAGAGAACCCCACAUUGGCGGGGGUAUUGUACUCUUGCCAGGGAGUACAACCUCAAUCUCGCUAUCACAAUCCCAUACUCGUCCUAUGGCCCACAAUUAUCAACAUCAAUCCUACGGUGGCACGUAGUUUUAGGAAAAUACCAUAUUUUCUACUCGGUGCUAAAUACUCCUCUCAGACUCAGCUCAGAACGCGUUAGGAAAUCCACCUUAAUCAAUAUCAACUCAUGGGUCUAUCAUAGAGACCAAAAUAUAAAUAUAUCUCAUCUGUAAAUCAUGAACAACUGUGGAUUCCUAACUCGACUCAAAAUCAAAACAAUUUUUCUCAACAUCAAGUACCUUUUCUUAUAAAAUCAUUUCAAAGAUCAAAAGCUUCAAGGAAACAUCUUAGGACUCACUCUUGACUUUCAAUGUCAAAUAUCGAUAUAUAUUUAAUAGUCAAAUUUCUCAUGGAAAGGCAUAACUCAUGAUACUUGUCUUAAAUCUCUUAGAAAUCACCAAUACAUAAUGACAAUAUGUAACUCAUGGAAUAAAUUCUCAAUUUAAGAAACAUGAUGGUGAAAUAAUCAUAAAUAUCAAACUUAAUCAACUCAAAUAUCAUAAAUUAUAAAUAAAGAAAUUUGGGUGUAAACCCACUUGCAAAAUCAUGUAAAUCAAUAAUAGAAAGUAAAUCUUUAGGCACAAGAACGAAAGGAGUGUUCUUGUUCAAGCCCCACAUAUCUUGGAUUAUAAUUUUGGAGAUGUAGAAACUUGUUUGGAACUUCUUCCUUCCACUUUUGAGCUAAGAUCUUUGAUGCCCUUGACUUGGAGAACUUAAUUCUUGAACAACUUGGAGAAAUUUAUGGAAGAUCCUUGAAAUUCUUGGAAGAAGAUUUGAAUUUUUGGGUUUUGAAAGAAACCCUAAUUUCUAGAAAAUUCUAGGAGAAAUUGGAAAGAAAUAGGAGAAAAUGAUCUUCUCUUUACUACUUUGUUAUAUAUAAGGAAACAAGGAGCGAAAAUGACCAAAAUGCCCUUUUGAAAAAGCUGAAAUUUGCUGAUCGGGGUCUAUGACGGUCCGUCAAGUCUCCUGACGGUCCACCAGAUCGCCCGUCACUCGAGUGCCAAAACUAAAACGUUUUGCCUCGACAUGAUAAUCGAAGUGAUGGUCCAUCAGAAAACUGAUGGUCCACCAAGUCAUCCGUUACUCGAGGGCCAGAAACGAGACAUUCUGUCUCGACCUGACAGACCCCUUGAUAGUCCGUCAACUUUUUGACGGUCCACUAUCUUGGCCAUUGCACGAUGGCCUGCAAAAGGAGUCACCGGCUUGGAUUGACGGGGCACUUGACGGUCCACCAAGGACCUGACGGUCCGCUAGGUCGACCGUCAGACCUGGGCGAUCCAAUAUCGCUGAGUAAAAUGGCUAUAACUCCCUCAUCCGAUGUCAGAUUUCAAUGAAAUUGGUAUCGAUGGAAAUCUUAUUCAAUCACUUUGGAAGUCAUACAUAUCCACUCAAAAGACGGAUUUAGGCUUAAGAAACGAUCGGGGUAUUACAGAAGACUUGGGAACACUUAUCUUGGAAAGAUUUAUGUUUUUGUAGAAAUAAGAGUUAGAAGUUUUAAUUCCUUGUUUACAAGAAGUCUUGUAAUUUGUUGAUUGUUGAGGCUCAAGAGUAAUAGUGAAGUUGGGGUUAAAUUUUGUCGAGGUACAGGUGAUGGUUUUUUACACCUUUCUUGAGUCGGGUGUUUUUCACAUAAAAAUAUUGUGUUCAUCUUUUACUUCUGUGAACCACGUUAGCAGUGGUGGACCCAGAAUUUAAGGAGUGUGGGUGCUUACAACAGAAAAAAAAUAAAAAAUCACCUAAACCAGGUUUGAACCCGAGCACACCUAUCAGUGAAGAGCCUUAAGAUCAACUUAAAUGCCAGUGCACUUAACUAACUUCUUGUUUAGUGGGUGCUUUUAUAUAAUUUAUACCUAUUUUCAUAUAUUUUUAAUGUAAUUAUACCUAUUCCGUGUUGAGUUUAGUGGGUGUCGAAGCACCCAAAAAUUAUGUGUAGGUCCGCCCCUGCACAUUAGCUUACUUGUUCUACAAAUAGGCAACUAGUAAAGUAUAAUAUUAAAUCAGUAGGGCACGCACUCUAACGUUACUCAAGUUGUAAUUUUUUAUAUCUUCAUAUAUAAAUCACCAACGCUUACUUUGGAACUUUUCAUUUCAUAGAGUAUAUUUUUAGUUCCUAUGAGAUCCGGGAGUAUCAUGAAUUGUUCUAUUGACAUAUGAGCUAAUACUUUACAGAGAAUGAAUUUUGAUCUAACUCAACCCCAAAAACUAAUUUAUAGUUGAAGAUUGUUCAAGUCCACGUAAGAAAACCAAUGGUCAAUUCCUUUUUCGAUGUAGGACUCCUAACAAUUUUGGUACCUUUCUUUGCAAGAUGUUAAAGAAUAAGUUUCCAUAUAAUUAAAAAUUUCAUUAAUUUUACAAGUGAAACUUUGUGAUAAAUAACAUCAAAAGGUAACCAACAAACUUAUUUUCAACCCCACCCCUAAAAAAAGGGAACAAGAAAGGAAGGAACACAUUAAUUCACAACGGGGUCAUCAAUAGAUAUCGGACAUUAGAAAAUCAACACAAAACAUUCACAGCUACCCUAUCAAAACUGCAAAUUAAUCCCCACAUCGACCACAACCGCCACAUCCACCACCAUUGCCACAACAACCCUGGUACGUACCAGCAUCGACAGUAGUGUUGAUGCUAUUAAUCACUGCCUCUGCCACAGCACCACCAGAUUCAGUAGCUUCUCCAGCACCCGGCAAAACAACCAUAUUCCCAUCUUUUAAUCCGCGGCCUCCACUUGGAUUAGUCGUUGCUCCAAUUUCCACAUCGGCACCUUUCUCCAUAUUCUGGUUGUUUCUGUAGUAUAUGCAGCAUCAAACUACCGAAAAGGAAAUCACAAAACUAAAAACUAUGCCCGCAAUAGAGCCUGAGUCCAUACUAAAUAUAUAUAUAUAUGCUUUGUCAACUAUGGGUUACUACUUUUAGAGGCUAUUUAUAGUAAGCCAACAUUCUUUUUUUGUCUCACGUGCAACAUGACGAAGUUCAUAUAUGGCAUAGUUGACAGGUUGAUGUGAGGGAUAGUAGCAUAAAAUAUAGAGUUUUAAGAUAUAUACAUCAGUCUUACAUAUUUUCAACAUAUAGUAUUUCUGAGAAAGACGAAAUUUUUUUAAUUACUACUACUUAAGCUUAUACUACAAAAGCUUUGUGUUCUCAAGCUCUUUGUCUCGCAUUGUUCGUAAGCUCCGAGACAGGCUCACUUUCCAGAUCAAGUGUAUUGUUCUACUUCCAAUUGUUCAACUCUUUCAUUCUUCAUAAAGCUGUGUAAUCUAGCUGUUACAAUUGUUAAAAAUAGAAAUAAAUUAAAAGAUAUUCACAGUUAAAGUUAUACAAGUAGAGGUUGAGUCAUAAGAUUCAAAACCGUGUUUUGGAUGGAGAAGAAAUGUUUUUCAACAAAGCUCUAAAGAAAGCCCUUGUAACCCAAGAGGAUUAGACUAGAGGCAUCACACACCGGUGAUCUGAACCAGUACAAAACUCUCUCUCUUUACUCUACGCUAUAUUUUGUUAUGUAUAUAUAUCUGUGAAUCUAACUUGCAGGAAAGCGGACUACACUCCUUGGUUAGUCAACUAAGUGCCCCUCCUUGAUUAUCAUAUAGGAGUAUUUAUACUAUAACUUAAAUGUAAAAAUUCAUUCAACUAUAUAUCGAAGUAUACAAUUUAUUUUUUCGUUUAUGUACUCAAAGUUGUAAUAAAUCAAAUCACCAGCGCUUUUUUGGAACUUUUCUUUUCAUAUUUUAGUUCCUGAAUAUAAUCCAAGCUCCUAUUUGACAUGAGAUUAGUUUAUUAAUCAAUGUACUUGAUCAAAAUUUCGUUUAUUAAUCUACAAUUUUAGUACCUUUCUUUCCAAUUCCAUUUGCACGUUAGCCAAACAAUUUAAUCUUGUUUGUGAUGAAAGCCUAAAAAUAGAAUAUGUAAUCUUUCUUAUCUCCAAGUCAUACCAUAUAUAUCCAGAAGAAAGGAAUGCCUAAUAAUCAUCAGAACAAAGUCAACGUAAUCUCGAUUUAAUGUUUACGGCUUGGAUUUUUAAGUCAACAUUUUGGUUGACGUUCUUCUUGGGUUUAAAUCAAGAACAAAAUUAAUUAAUUACUAAGAUAUUAAAAAAGGAUUACGUGCAGAGACAAAAUAAAAGAACAUACAUCACUGGACCUUAAUUAGUAGAUACUUAUAAAUUAAAAUCUAGCGGAUUUUAAUAGUAUUUUUUAUUUGAAAAUAAUUAGUGUAUUUAAUAGCCACAACUUUAGACUAAUAAUAUCAUCACAAAAAAAUAAGUGCAGAUUCAUUAAUAUCAGGCAUCGGUACAAUGCUUGUGAUGUUGAACCAAACGUUGAGGAAUAGUACAAUAUUGUCAAUAUAUAUGAGAAGAUUGUGGAUCUUCAACUGUCUAAUGCGAUUUGAUGACUAGUAAAGUAUGGAUACCCAUAUUUUACCCGCAAUUUUUACCUUAGCUUUUUUUCUUUCAUGUUCGGGUUCUCCGUGGAAAUAUAUAGCUUUAGCCUUGAGAGAUACUCCUAUAUUUUUUUAAAGUUCAAGAAGACAAAUAUUGUUAGAGUAUGAUCCCUACUGAUUGCCUAUCUGUGGAACAAGUAAGUAUAUGUGGUUCAGAAGUAAAAACUGAACACAGGAAUUUUUACUUGGAAAACACUUGACUCUAAAAGGUGUAAAAAAACACGACCUGUAGCUCUACAGGAUUUAACCCCAAUCUUCACUAUAACCUUGAGCCUCAACAAUCAACACAAUUACAAGACUUCUUGUAAACAAGGAAUUAAAACUUCUAACUUCUAUUACUACAAAAACACAAAUCUUCCCAAGAUUAGUGUUCCCAAGUCUUCUAGUUCCCUGGCUUGAAGACAUGAUUCCUAACUCAGCUUAUAGAAUACUGAGACUAGAACAAUUUACUCAUUACAACUCAAGAACCUUCUUAUUACAAGCAGUCUAAAACAUACUAAGUGAGAACUAGGUUCUUCUUCAAGUUGGUAAACGAUUUUGCUGAUUGUUGAUUUUCUUAUCAGUGCUUCAUCAUCAUUUAAAUGCAGCUUGUCGUCUAUAUAUGCUCCCUCAGAUGCAGUCCUUUUUCUUCUUUCUUGUAUCUUCUGUAGGACUCUUUCAAGUAACUCACUCCUUGUUGUAACCAUCUCUCCUUCUUCUAAAUUGAGUAGGACUCUUUUGCUUUAUCCUUCUGCCUUGUAGACUUCUUGAUCUACUCAAACUCUAACUGCUCCAAUUAUCUUCAUAUAGCCGUGUGAACAUCCUUUUCUUAUCCAUGUGUUGACAGCUUAUGUAAUAAUUUUAGCAUGUAAUGAUUUCAGCAUACACUUCAUAUGUCUGAAGCAGUUUCACUUGUAUAGACCAGCUUGCACAACAUGUUUCAUUCAUCUAUCAAUCAUCAAAACUUCUCAGGCCCAAACAAAUUCCCCCUUUUUAAUGAUGACAAACUUAUCAGCACAGUAUUACCAAGAACCUGACAUACUCAAUAAGAAAUUCAAUAAAAUGAUCACAGUAGAAUGAAACAGGUUAGAUCAGUUGAGUUAUAAAAAUUGUAUAAUCUAUACUUCCUCCUUUUGACAUCAUCUAAAAGCUGAGCCAAUAAGUGAAAAACUGUUUAAUAAUCCAUGGCCACUGGGGCUAUCACUAAAACAAGCAAGAGUCAGAGCAAGAGAUAACUAAGCAUUGAAUUAAACAGAAGUAGAUCAAGUGAGAUAAAAGAGGUCCAUUUCAUGCAUAAAAACAGAUACAAUUAUCAUUAUCCAGUAAGACCAAAAAGAGAAAUAAGUUGGACCAAGAAGCAGCAAAGAAGAAAGAAAAAAAACUAAGGGACGAAGGAGGAGUUUAUUUUGAGGAGGUAGAGGGGAUAAAAGAGGUCAACGAUCGAAUGAUAGCAGCAUUUUCAGUUCUUUCCUUCUCCAAAGUGGCUGUGAGGGAAGCAAUUUGAGCUUCAAAAACCCUUUUUUCAUCUUCAUGAAUAGGCUGGGCAGCCUCCAAUGCAGCCUGCGUAACCUCCAGCUCACCCUGCUUUGCCUCUAAGGAAUUUCGCAACUUCUGCAUAGGGUUGUCUGCAUGUCUCAUAGCAGCAGGUAGCAUAGCAUGGUUCACUUGUCCAAUCACAUCCUUAGUUGUCUGUAAGGACCACACCUUGACAGAGACACGAAAAUCAUCAAACACAGGGACAAGCUAGAACUGAUAGGGCAGAGUAUGACCAUUCUUAUCUUUGACGAGUACCCUUUGCAUAUGCUUAAUGAUGAUUUGGGGAAGGUCUAUUGGAAUCUCAGAAUCCAAUAGUUCCAUUAAGGUAAGAUCAAGAAAGCUUGCAACUGUGCGCCUCUCCUGCCUGGGUAAGAUCAUUUUGUAGACCACAUCAAAAUACAACUGAUAGAGAGAAGACAUUUCAUUUUUCAUCACCUUACGAUGAGAAGGAAAGAGAAGAUUUCCAAAAAAAAUUCUGCAGAUAUCAAGGGUGGAUGGAAGAUUGUCAAGAGGAGUCCAAGAUCCUUUCACAUAGUGACCCCAACCUCCAGUAGGAACACUUAGAAUUCUACCCAAAUCAGCAGGAUAAAGAUUGAUGAGUUUUCCAUGAACAGAGGUUGAGAUCAUCUCCCCAAUCGCAACUUCAUGUGUAUAAAAAUCAUACACUUUAUCUUUUCCAAACCUUGUUUGAUGAUUACCUUGCAGAAGCAAGGAUGACCACCCCUGAGCCCUCAAUUUGGAUACCAAAGUUUCUAUAUCAGGACCUCCAAAACCAGUGAUAACCCUACCUCUAACUAUCUUUCAUUUCUGAAAAUGCAGAACAUGGUCGGGCGGAGAAGCUUUAUCAGCAGGAGUAUCAAUAUUAAUAUCAACAUCAAAAUCAUCAGUAAGCACAAAAAAAGUGUCAGGAAGAUAGUCUGAAUCUGAGGCAGAUGAGACAGAAGGACCAAUUUUGGGGACCUAUUUCUUCGGAAGUGACACAGAUUUUGGAGAAUCUUUAGAAGGAAUAGAGGCUUGUCUAGGAGAGACUUUGUCAGUAGAGACUUUGACAGUGGAUUUUGAAGAUGAGGAGGCUUUGGGAGUGGAAGGGGGGACAUUUUACGAGAGAGAUAUGGUUUUGAUGUUUUAGCUAUGGUAUGCUUCUACUUCAGCUUUCUCUUAGAGCGAAUAAGAAUGUUAGGAGAGGAAUCACAUGGGGGAGGAGAAGCAUUAGGCACGACUCAUUUCUUUUUACUUGCCCUAAGUGCCUCUUUCAAACAAGCAUCUUUCUAUUAUUUCCUUCUCCGAGUAUGUGGAAUUUGAGAUGAAGGGAUGACGGGAGAAGAGUGUUCGAGAGUAUCAUCAUCGACAUCAAUGGCGACAAAUGAGGGUUUUAGUUUCUCGAUCAAGGAUUGGAAGAGGAGCUACUGAUAGUGGUAAGGGUUCUGGAAAGAGUGAGGGUUUGAAAGAAAAGGGAGCGAAGGGGUAUGGUAAGGUCUUGAAGAAUGGGAAAUCAGAUAGGUUGAGAAGGAUUUGGGGUUGGAUAAGUGAGGGUAAAUUGAUGUUUGGGUGGAGAAUAAGUUGUGUAGAAGGAUUAAUGUUAUAUUUUGUGUAAGAAAGAGGAGAGGAGAAAGAUACCAUAGUAUGGUGGUUGAAGGAGAAGUGGAGAUAGGAGAGAAAACAUGAGGUGUAUUUAAGAAGAGUGAGAAGGAAGUUGAAAGAAAAAGGGACUGUGAUUUUGGAGAAACGUGUCGAUGUAGAGGUUCAGUACGGAUGGAAAAGGUCUGGCAACCUUUUAAAGAAGUUGACUGUUGGGUUUUGGUGGUUUUAAUCAUUAUAGAAAGAACCAUGUAGAUGGCCUGUUUCUCUUAAUGCUACUAUGGAAAACAAUAAUCAUACUUGUGUUUGAUUAGUCCAUGACCACUCUUGCCUUGAUGAUCCAUCUAUUAAAAAAAAUAACACAUAGAUAUAUCACAUUGCUUUAGAUCUUGGGAUUAGGACACACAAGUAAAUGUGUAAGACUGAAUUAAUCAACAAUCACUCCAACAUAGCAUAUUCUAGUCAUUCAUUGAAGGAGAUUUAUACAAUUUUAAUCAUCCCCAAUGCUAACCUAUUUUUUAAAAGUGUUCCCUACUCAAAGCCUUAGUUAAUAUGUCAGCAAUUUGAAUCUCAGUUUAAAAAAACAUAAUUGAUAUAUUUCUUUUCUCAAUAUUUUCUCGAAGGAAGUGAUGACGGAUAUCAAUAUGCUUAGUUCUUUUAUGUUGGACAGGAUUUUUGGCUAUGUUUAUAGCAGUUGUGUUAUCACAAAAGAUGGGAACACAACCUACAUCUACCCCAAAUCCAGAAGUUGUUGUUUAAUCCAUAACAAUUGAGCACAGCAUGAUCCAGCAGCAACGUAUUCAGCCUCAGCAACAGACAAAGCUGCUGAAUUUUGCUUCUUUGUGGACCUGGUAAUCAAACAUGAUCCUAAGAAGUGUGCCAUACCUAUAGUACUUUUCCUGUUCACCAAAUAUCCUGCAUAAUAAGCAUCAGAGUAUCCUAACAAAGUAAAGUUACUACCUUUGGGAUACCACAACCCAAGAUCACUAGUUCCUUUCAAAUAUCUGAAGAUUCUUUUUACAGACUUAAGAUGGGAUUCUUUUGGAUUAGCCUGAAACCUUGCACACAGUUCUACACUAAACACGAUGUCAGGUCUGCUUGCUAUGAGAUACAAUAAGGACCCUAUCAUACCUCUAUAUAGUUUUUGUUCUACAUCAGAACCUGUUUCAUCCAGAUCAAGUUUUGUGGCAGUGGCAAUGGGAGUACUUAUUUCUUUAGUUUCCUCCAUGGAGAAUUUCUUGAGAAGCUCUUUGACAUACUUUUGUUGAUGGAUCAUUAUUCCUGAUGCUGACUGUUUUAUUUGAAAACCCAGGAAGUAAUUCAACUACCUCAUUAUGCUCAUUUCAAACUCACAACUCAUGAGUUUACCAAAGUUAUAAUCCAUAUUCAUGUUGGUUGAGCCAAAAAUAAUGCCAUCCACAUACACUUGCACAACUAACAAAUUCUUUCCAUUAGUUUUUAAGAAAAAGGUAUUGUCAAUUUUACCUCUGGUGUGUCCAUGCUCUAGCAGAAACUUUGAUAAUCUCUCAUACCAGGCCCUUGGUGCUUGUUUCAACCCAUACAAAGCCUUAUCUAGCUUGUACACAUGAUCUGGAAACUCUCUGCUUUCAAAUCCUAGAGGUUGCUUCACAUAAACCUCUUCUUUGAGAAUGCCAUUUAGGAAUGCACUCUUCACAUCCAUCUGGUACAAAAUAAACUUCAUGUAAGAGGCAAAGGCAACCAGCAAUCUUAUGGCUUCAAGUGUUGCUACAGGAGCAAAAGUCUCAUCAAAGUCAAUUCCUUCUUCUUGGUUGUAUCCUUGAACCACCAGUCUUGCCUUAUUUCGUGUGAUUUUUCCAUGCUCAUCAACUCUAUUUUUGUACACCCAUUUAGUCCUAUGACUGUUCUAUCUUUUGAAAGAGGAACUAAAUAUCAUACUUUGCUUCUCUCAAACUGAUUCAAUUUAUCCUGCAUGGCUAUGAUCCAAUCAACAUCAAGCAAUACCUCACUUACUUUCUUUGGCUCUAUUUCUGAUAGGAAUACCUUGAAUUCACACAUACUUCUCAAUCUAGAUCUUGUGGUGAUUUCAGAAGUGAGAUCAGUAAGUACAUUCUUAAUGGGGUGCGAACCUUGAUACUUGUAUCCUUUUGGGAUCAAGCCUAGUGAGCUUCUUGAAUCACUGCUAAUGUUCUGAUAUGAAGUAGUUGAUGGCUCAGUUCCCCCUAACACUGUGCCUUCAGCUUCAGUUCCCCCUGUGAAAGUGCCCCCAAGUUUGACUGCUUCAGCCGAUAGAACAUGUUGUGUAACCUAUUCCUCAGUGUCGCUUUCUUCCUACAGGUUAGUCUUAACACAAAACUCAUCAAAAAUCACAUGCGUGCUUUCUUCAACACAGUUAGUUCUAUUGUUUAAAACUCUGUAAGCCUUACUAUGAAGUAAAUAACCUAAAAAGAUUCCCUCAACACGUUUGGCAUCAAAUUUUCCCAAAUUAUCCUUACCAUUAUUAUAUAUGAAACAUUUGCAACCAAAAGUUUUAAAGUGAGAAAUGUUAGGCUUUCUACCUUUUAGUAAUUCAUAGGGGGUCUUUUCUAACAUGGGUCUGAUUAUGCAUCUGUUUGCGAUAUAUGUUGCAGUACUUAUUGCCUCAGCCCAUAGGUUGUUGGCAAUAUUUGCUGCAAGCAUCAUUGUUCUAGCCAUAUCUUUAAAGGUUCUAUUCUUCCUUUCCACCACUCCAUUUUGUUGUAGAGUUCUAGGAGCUGAGAAGUUAUAAUCUAUUCCAUUUGAUGAACAAAAAUCUAAGAAUUUUGCAUUCUCAAAUUCUGUUCCAUGGUCAGGCCUUAUGGAAACUAAUGAAGUGCCCAGUUUCUUUUCUAUUUUCUUAAUGAAGAUUUCAAAGACAUCAAAGGCAUCUUCUUUAGAGGCUAGAAACAAAGUCCAGGUGAACCUAGAAUAAUCAUCAACAAUUACAAAAAUAUACCAUUUUCCACCUCUGCUUUGUUGUCUCAUUGGUCCACACAAGUCCAUAUGAACUAGGUCAAGACAUUUGGUAGUGCUAACAUGGAUCUUUGACUUGAAAGAGGAUUUUACCUGUUUCCCCCUUACACAUGCACUACAUAACUUUUCUUCCUUAAACUUGUUCUUGGGUAGUCUCAAUACUAUGUCUUUGGAGGAAAGUAUGUUCAGUUGUUUCAGACUUGCAUGUCCAUGUUUUCUGUGCCAAAGGAGGGGAUCAGUUUCUAUUGCACUUAGACAAGUCAACUCAGGUCCUGGUAUUGCCAUUAUGUCUGCUUUGUAUACAUUCCUGUAUCUCCUUGAAAUAAGCACAAUUUCUUUGGUGUCCAUCCUUUUGACUUUAACACCUGCAGCAGUGAAAAUUACUUUAUUACCUUUGUCAUACAAUUGUGAAAUGCUUAGCAGGUUAUGUUUCAGUCCUUCCAUAAGAUAAACAUCCUCCACAGCUUUUGACUCAAAUGAGCCAAUUUUUCCAACUCCAGUUAUGAUUCCCCUGUUUCCAUUUUCAAAAGAGACUCCCCUACCGUCUAUUUUGGAGAGUGAAAGGAACUUUCACUUGUCACUAUUCAUAUGUCUUGAGCAAGUACUAUCUAGGUACCAGUGCCUUUUGUUUUCCUUCACCUUCUCCUGCACAAGAAAUCAAUGGUUAAACUUAGGAACCCAAACAAGCUUGGGUCCUAUUUUGUUAGUAAAAGGAUGAAUUAAAUUCCUUCUAGUCCAAGCAGAAAGCAAGUAGACUGACUUGUUUCUCAGACUAAUUUUAGUGCUUGUUUACUUGGUCUGAGAAAGUUUGGUUGCCAGGUUCAAACUUCGAUAUCUGCUUUUAGCAGCCAUAGGAUAUUCAGUAGUAGGAUGUCCAAGAUUUCCACAAAUAUAACAUAAGUAUUGAAGAUUAUCAGCUUCUUUAUAAAAACCUAAUCCUACUUUUUCAUUGUGAUUUCUUUUACCAAGCUGUUGAACAAUUCUUGAAGAAUUUUUCCAUCUUUUUGACUUUUCUAGAUCCAAUUUUAAUCUUGCUACCUCUUGACUCAUCUUAUCCAUCUUUUCAUUCAAGUCAUAGCAUUCUUGUUUGUACUUAGUUAACUCAAGUUCAGCAUUUUCUUGUUCUUUACUUAUGGCCUUUUUCCCAUGGCAGUUAGAGUCAGUUUAAGGAUUUCAGACUUAAGAUCAUUAUUUGAGGAUUCAAGCAGUGUAAUUUGUUCCUUAAGAGUGCAAUUUUCUUUGUCAACAUUUUGCUUGCAAACUUUCAAGUCAAUGAAAUCAAAUUUAAGAAUUGCAGGACUGUUGAACAAUUCAUCCCUAUCAGAAGUUAAUUCUUGGAAAUUUUCAAUUAAAUCACUCAUCAAGGAAACAAGUUUAGUUUUAGAAAAAAAAUGUAGUUUUUCUUUGAGUUCAAGUAAACUUACCCCAGAAGCAUCAUCUUCUUCCUCAAUGUAUGAGUCUCCAAAAGCUAUAAAUGUUGUCUCAUCAACUCCAUCAUCAUCAUUAUCAGAGUCAGAUCCCCAUGUAGCUAUCAUGGCAUGUUCUUUAUUUUACUUCCUCCUGGCCUUUUGUUCUUUUUCAACUCUUUCCUUCUUCCAUUCUAUUUCCCAGAGAGGACAUUAUCUGAUCUAAUGAUCAGUCUUUCCACACUUGUAACAUCCAUUUGGAUUGUCAUUGGAACGCUUCUUGCUACCUGUUCCCUUCUUCUUCUUAAAAAACUUGCUAAAGUUUUUUUGUUAUGAAGGCAAUUUGUUCCUUAUCCAGUUCAAUCUCUUCAUCACUAUUAGAAGACUUCAAGGCCAAGAUUUUUUCAGAAGCCUUCUGUUCCUUAAUGCCAUCAACUUCCAUUUCAUAGGUUCUUAAAUUCCCUACUAGUUCAUCCAAAGUCAUACCUGUGAGAUCCUUAUUUGCUUCCCUGAUUGNNNNNNNNNNNNNNNNNNNNNNNNNNNNNNNNNNNNNNNNNNNNNNNNNNNNNNNNNNNNNNNNNNNNNNNNNNNNNNNNNNNNNNNNNNNNNNNNNNNNNNNNNNNNNNNNNNNNNNNNNNNNNNNNNNNNNNNNNNNNNNNNNNNUCCUUACCUGAGAGGUACCUUCAUGGGCAUUUACUAAGGCAUCCCAUAUUUACUUAGCAGUGGUACAGGUAGAUAUUCUAUUGUAUUCAGCAGGUCCUAGACCACAGACUAGGAUAUUCUUUGCCUUAGCAUUUUUCUUUAAAGCCAAAAGAUCAUCAGCAGUAAACUCACUCCUUAUUUUCUUGACUUGCACACCAUUUUCUGUCUUCAUAGGGAUAGUAGGACCUUCAGUAAUCCUAUCCCAUAAUUCAUAAUCUUCUCCUUGAAUAAACAUCUCCAUCCUGGCUUUCCACCAGAUGAAAUGAGUACCAUCAAAGAGUGGGGGUCUAGUAGUGGAUUGACCUUCACUGUGACCAGUAGGAGGUGUGGAAUUCAUCAUAAUGAUCUGAUCUUAGGUGCAAACCUUAUUUAAGACAACCUUCUCUGAUACCACUUGUUAGAGUAUGAUCCCUAUUGAUUGCCUAUCUAUGGAACAAGUAACUAUACGUGGUUCAUAGAAGUAAAAACUGAACACAAUAAUUUUUACGUGGAAAACACCCGGCUCAAAAAGGUGUAAAAAACCACGACUUAUAACUCUACAGGAUUUAACCCCAAUCUUCACUAUAACCUUGAGCCUCAACAAUCAACACAAUUACAAGACUUCUUGUAAACAAGGAAUUAAAACUUCUAACUCCUAUUACUACAAAAACACAAAUCUUCCCAAGUCUUCGAGUUUCCUAACUUGAAGACGUGAUUCCUAACUCAGCUUAUAGAAUACUGAGACUAGAACAAUUUACUCAUUACAACUCAAGAACCUUCCUAUUACAAGCAGUCUAAAACAUACUAAGUGAGAACUAGGUUUUUCUUCAAGUUGGUGAACGAUUUUGCUGAUUGUUGAUUUUCUUAUCAGUGCUUCAUCAUCAUUUGAAUGCAGCUUGUCUUCUAUAUAUGCUCCCUCAGAUGCAGUCCUUUUUCUUCUUUCUUGUAUCUUCUGUAGGACUCUUUCAAGUAACUCACUCCUUGUUGUAACCAUCUCUCCUUCUUCUAAAUUGAGUAGGACUCUUUUGCUUUAUCCUUCUGCCUUGUAGACUUCUUGAUCUACUCAAACUCUAACUGCUCCAAUAUCUUCAUAUAGCCAUGUGAACAUCCUUUGCUUAUCCAUGUGUUGACAGCUUAUGUAAUAAUUUUAGCAUGUAAUGAUUUCAGCAUGCACUCCAUAUGUCUGAAGCAGUUUCACUUGUAUGGACCAGCUUGCACAACAUGUUUCAUUCAUUGAUCUAUCAUCAAAACUUCUCAUGCCCUAACAAAUAUAUAUGAGAAAUGGCUAACGAUAGGUGUAUUUAAACUCGUUAUGCCUGAUCUAACUUUUAUUUCACAUAUAAAACUUCAUGAUAUAUAUAGCAUCAAAAAGUGAUUAACAAAAGAGAUCUCUUAACAAAAACAAACCCUAUUUUCAUUUACCCAACUCCUAAAAUGAAAAGAAAAAUAAGAAAGGAAGAAAAGAGAUAUAUAAUACACAUUAAUCUACACUUAGAUCAGCUUCUUCAUGUCUCAAUACAAAUAUCGAAUAUCAGGUAGAAACUCAAAACAAGAAAAUUCACAAUAGGAUGGUGCCCAACUGCAAACUAAUUCAAUUCAACCUCCACAACCACAACCACCAGCAUCACCAUGAAUAUCGAACACCAGGUCAAAACUCAAAAGAAAUUCACAACAGGGAUGGUGUCAAAUCAACCUCCACAUCCACCGCAACCACCUCCACCACAACCACCGCCAUCACCAUCACCACCACCACAACAACAACCCUGGUACGUACCACCAUCUGUACUAGUAUUAGUUCCAUUUGCUGCUCCACAACCACCUCCCUUAUCCUUAUCACUGCCAUUACUCACCGCCGUCGCUGCUGCUGCAACACCAAUGACAGCAGCUCCUGCUCCUGCACCAGCUAAUACAACCAUGUUCCCGUCUUUAACCCCAUUACCUAUUCCACGUCCCCUCCUCGAGCUUUAGGCUUGUCCUGUUGGCGUUUGCUGCGGCAUUUGGCGCAUAAAAUGAUAAAAAUUGGGAAGAGAAUAACGCCUACUAUGGGAACAAUAAUGGCGACUAAGUCCAUAGUUAAUAUGCUUGCUUGUCAACUAUUUUAGAGGCUAUUU
rnacentral:lncRNA from 1 species